UUAAUUAUUUUCUUAUGGCUCGGUUUCUUGGUCCCGAAACCACUUUCCGACUAGGGUCAAUUUAGGGCUGUCACACUCUCAUUCUUCGAGUUCGGUUCCAAGCAUCUGAUAUCUUACGAACCUUCCUCUUAUAAUUGUUAUCUUUGUAAGGGAACUCACAUUGUGCCAACCCUUGUGUCACCGGUAUAAACUGCCUUGAUCGAUACUGCCUUAACAUCAUUAGUGGAGCGUAUCCCACGGCUCCCCAUAUUUCAGCCAGAGGGACCCAAUCAAAAUCACCGCACCGAUAUAAGAUUUCGUCAGGGAUCAACCACGGAGCCCUCUAUUCAACAUAUUCAGCUCGUAAAUUCUGGAGAAUAGCUAUCCAUUUCUCUUCUGAGAUGUCUUCUCGCCUUGAUGUAGCCACUAAUUCCUUUAAUGGGGAAUAGUCCUUGGAGAAAACCCGAUAGGAGACCUUCUCCACCUUCUAAAAAUGGCUAUGAAACCAAGCUAAUAGAAGCUGUGCACAACCAAUAAAUCUUCCUUCGCCCGUUCUCCGACAUGCAUUCAAGGAUCUGAAAGUUUCUGCUAGGAUUGCCGGGACGGGUGUGGUACCUUUAUCAAGACGAUCAAAUAAAUCUGAGACGGCUUCAUCUAUAUGUCCUAGUGCCUUAGGAAAGAUGAUCAGACCGUAGAGGCUCAAGGUGAAAACAUCAACCCUCUUCUUCAAAUUCGGGUGUGCUAGGACUAAAUCCCUCAAAUUCCUCCAAGGAAUACACUUACUAUCCCCUUUUUGCUUGAUACGGGCUAAAACCCAUUGUUCGCUCAUUCUCAUGGUACUCAUCAAUUUCUUUAAAAAUGUCGGGACAUUAACAAGUCUUGAAUAAGCCCUGUCGGUUUGAGGUUUUAGGUAAUUAAGUAGCACCAUGUAUUCCUCCACAGUAGGAACUAAAUCGACUCCUCCGAAGAUGAAGCAACUGUAAACGGGGUUCUAAAACUGCACGAGGGCCCGGAACAAGUACUUGUCCACUUUUACGUCAAGCAAAUAGGGUAGGUCACCAUAGUUACAGUAAAAAAGUUACUCGACCUCGCUAUUCCAAUUGUUCCAUAUAUCCCUUAAUUCUUGUAGGUCGUUCUGAGUCACACUGAUGCUGGUGAAAUCCCACAACUCUGAUUCAUAUCCUCUGGUCAAACUAUCUCCUUUCUCUUGUUGCGUUCUCUCGGACCACACUUAGACGGACGCAUUAUCCUCCACUCUAUCAAGAAAUUCUUUUUCCAUGCUAAGUUUUUCUAGUUAGCAACCGAACGUGAAUCAACACCUUUUUACAAUGUGAUUCCAUGCAAUAACAGCAAAACAUAACAAGUCAGUAUUAAAACAAAGAAUAGAACUCAAAGCAAACAGAAAAUAAUCAAGCACCUAAUCGGGUAACCACUAGGGUUUGGUGUGUUUCUACCUAGGGCAGGCUCUUAGGGCUCAUUAUAUGUGGUUCGGUUCUAAAGUAAAGGUACCUGAACCAGCAUAUUCCUCCAUCCUCACCCAUUAUAGGCUCAUAUGGACUGAGUUCGAUUCAGGGGAAUACAUUUCCCUACGGUUAUACGGAGAUGGAAAUCUCACAAAGACGCAGGUACGGAUGUAUCCCGAAAGCGAUCCACUAUCCUAUACGGAAGUGAAGACCUCACGAAUGAGUAGUUUCUCACUUCCACUUAAAAGGUGUGACCACAACAGUCAUGCAAUGCAACAUGCGAGGAUAUAUGCAUAAAAUAACUCAAAGUAAUAAAGAAAAUAGAAAUAAAAUGAUGAAAACCGUAAGAAAAACGGAUGAAAUGCAAUGAAGGGAUCGUGAGUUUAAAACGAAUUUUCAAUUUCGACAAAAGACAAAAAAUUAAUAAAUUUAUGGCUCAACUCUCUCGUUGUCUCCAAUAGAGUCACCAAGCUGUCGAAACUAUUUUUUUGAAAACAAAAAAAACACGAAUCGACUUUUUUUGAAAAUGAAAAUUAAAGCGGGAGUUGCCACCAAUCUUUAUUAGGUGUGAUCGGACCACCUUUGCUUUAAUAAAACGUUCUAGUUUAUUAAAACAGUGUUUUUGGUCUACGAAACUCAAGAGAACAAGUUCGGGAGUCGGUUAUGUGCGAGGAAGGAUUAGCACCCUCGAUACGCCCAAAAAUUGGUACCGAAUUGAUUAGUUAAUGUUUUAAUAUCGAAAAUUGAAAAUCAGGAAUGGAUUUAAAAUACGAUCCCUUUUUAUUGACAUCGAUUAAAAAACACUUGAAUUAGCUUUAAACGAUCGUUAAAGAUUUCCUCGUCUCGAGAUAUUGGAGUAUCACAUCCCGUAAGUUAGGACACGAUAUCAUGAAUUCCCGAGCGCAAGUUUGUCUUUAAUUUGAAUUGGAAAUCCGUGUAUUUUAAAACUCAAAAGGAUAUUUGGCUAUUUAGAACCAACGGAAAAAUUGAAACCCCGUAAGUUAGGGCACAAUUUCUCGAUGUUCCAAAACGCAAAACAUUGCCUCAUUUAGAAAAUUUUCUUUUUGAAAUAUAGCGAGUAUAAUGUUUAAUAAAGUGCGUUAUUCAUUUGGAUUAAAACAAUUUGUUGGAUGAAUGUAACGAGACUUGAUUCAUGGGCGAUGAUGUGAAAAUAUAGUAAUGAAUAUAAGACAAAUACACAUGGAUACUACAUUAUACAAAUGAAUAACAGUAAUGCAAACUUGCGAAAUAAAGAAAUCAAAAUUCGCAUAAUAGCAAUAAUCACGCAAGGUACAUCAUUUAGAUAUUACAUUAACAGUUAAAGACGAAUGAAUUUAAUAAUAAUUUAAAAGGUGUAAAGCAAAUAAAAAUGAAUAAGAUGUAAAACAAUUUUAAAAUGAUAAUGAGGUUAAAAUAAUGUGAAAAAGGAGAUUUAAAAUUGACAAUAUGUAAGACAAUUUAAAAUAGAGGACAUAUAUAUAAUAUUAAAAUAGGUAAUAUAUAUAAUAAAUACUAUAUAAAAAACCUGAAAUGAACAAUAAUAAAACAAUUUAAAACAAAUAAGAGAGUUUAAAAUAUGUUGUAUAAGACAAAUCUAAAUAAGAAUAAGACAAUUUUAAAAUAAUAUAUAUAAAGAAAUUUAAAAUAAAUAUUAGGAGGCUCAAAAUAAUAAUAUGUAAAAGAAAUUUAAAAUAAAUAAUGUAAAAGAAAUUUUAAAGUGAAUAACAUGUAAAACAAUUUAAACCAAGUAAUACAUAUGAAACUUUAAAACAGAUGAUAUACACAAAGAUUUAAAAUAAAUCAUAUGUAAAUUUUUUUUAAAAUAAUGAAUAUGUAAAAAUAAUUUUAAAAAUACAUAAUAUAUAUAAGAAGUAUGUAAAACAGUUUAAUAUAAGUAAUAUAUAUACGAAAUCUUAAGGUAAAUAAUGAUAAAAAAUAAUAAAAGAAUUUAAAAUCGUUUACAUAUAAAAUAAAAUAACAUAUAAAAACUUAAAAUAUAUAAGAUGGUUUAACAUCAAUAAUGUAUAAAACAAUUUAAAAAUAGAGUAUGUGUAAAAGAAAUUUUAAAAUUGGUAAUAUAUAAGACAUCAAAGAAAUAAUUAGUGUAUAUAAAAAAUAGACGUAACAAUUUGAAAUUGAGAGUAUAUAAAUUUUUAAAGUAAAUAAUAAGACGAUUUAAAAUGAAUAAUAUGUAAAGCGUGUUUAAAAUAAACAAUGUAGAAGAGUUUUAAAAUCUAUAUUAUACGAAGCAAAUUAAAAGAGGGAUUCAUAUGAGUAAAUUUAAAAUAGAUGGUAUAUAUACAUAAAAGUGUAAAAUAAAUAAUAUAUAUAAAACCUAAAAUAAAUAACAAUAAAAUCAUUUUUAAAGUAAAUAAAAAGGGAGUUUAAAAUAACAUAUUAAUAAAACAUUUUAAAAUAAACAAAUAAAUAAAUGAAAUAAAGGGUUCAGGACAUGAUUGAAAAUAGAUCAGAAUAUGAGGUAUCAAUUGCAAAUAAAAAAGGAAGGCCAAGGGGAUUAAAUCAAAACAUUCUUAGAUUCACGAGGACAAAAAGGGGUAAUAUCCCAAAUCCAAGCGCUGCGUUUCAUCUGUCCAGGCCAAGGAUCAAAGCGGAAAUGAAAUACAAUAAAAGGGCAAAAUUAUAAACAGGGAAAAAUGCGAAAAUGACUAAAUAGAACGACGCAAGAAAGAAGGAGGGACUAUAAUCGAAUAUAUCCCAUUUGGGCUUUAAAAACACGCGGGUUCCCCUUCAAAACGGGUCGGGCGCGCGGGUCUCCCCCUAAACGAUGACGUUUUGGGGCGUAGGGGGGAGUCCUUGAAACGGUGACGUUUCAUCACCAUUUUUUUACAACCAAAACCCUUUUUUUUUUUUAAUCUUUCAGCCCCCAUUUAAAAAAGAAAAAGAAAACUGUUUGCUUUCUCCCACUCCCCUCUUCUCUUAACCUCCCCCGUGGCCGACCAUGGGUUCAUCGGGGGGCCCUCCACGACCAUACCACGAACGGCGGCCGGUGCUAAGCGAGGCGGGCUCUCUCGGCCCUCUUUUCUGUAGGUUCAAAGGUGGAACCUCCAUAAUCAGUAGCAACGCAAGAAAAGGGGGGGACCCUUCGGUUCUUCGCUCUCCACCGUGGCCAAUGGUCAAACCCCUAGGGGUUCGACGACCUUCAGAUCGGUGAGAAGACGCCGGAGCGCACCCAAAUGGUGGAUCGAAGGUGCGUUUUUUAUUACUAUUUUAUUCUUUUAUUAUUAUUUCAUAUGUAAAAAAGAAAAAAAAAGGAACAAAGCAAAACGGGGUAAAAGAAAAUAAAGAUUGGAAAUUGAAACGCAAACAAUAAGAUCAACUUAAAAAAUCGUCUAUUCCUUUUGAUUAAUUUUCGUUUUUGUAAAUGUCUGUAAACAUAUUUUUCGUUUGAGGCUUCUUAUAGCCGAAUACAAAGAUUUCAUCUACUGUUUGUUGCUGUUUCCUUUUGCUUCUGCUGCUUUGCUCUCUUUUGCUUCUGUUUUGCAGUCCUAAGGGGGUCAACGGCGGUGAAAGUAUGCCAUUUUGGUGUAAGGUCGAAGGAAAAGUCGGCCCUUGGGCGUCGUGCAUGCCGAGGGCGCACAUGGGAGGUGCAGCACCCUAAGCUGCUAGGGUUUCUGAGUUAUUUUGUGUUUUGGGCCGUAUUUUGCUUGGGCCUUGUAGUGCAAUGGACUGUUAUUAUUAUUUUGGUUUUUGUUUAAAUGGGACGGGCAAAAUUGGGCCCGUACAGUAUAUUUGCAACAGUUCUAAGGGGUGGAGGGCAUAGAGGAGGCGACACCUAAUUUUUUUUUUCUGACACAAUCAUUGAAAAUAAUUACAAAAUGACGUGUUUUUAAAAAAAAAAUUAAGGAUGGAGGGUGUGAGAGAGGUGGCACUAGUAUUUUCUAGCGCAGAAAUACAGUUUAAUUAGUGGAGGGUGAGAGAGAGGCAACACCAAUAUUUAUUUUUGUAUUUAUUUAUUUUACAAAUGGUUGUGUUGAUUUAAUUGGAUUUUUGAUUUUGUAGAAAUGGUGUGUUUGAAAGAAAGAUAACAUCUAUUUAUGUUUUCAUUUAAUAUUUUUUUUAUUUUUUAAUUUAAAUGCAAAUAAUAGAAAGAGCAUUAGUUUAAUUUUUGUUGAUAGUUUAUUUUGUAGAGAGGGUGUUUUGAAGAAAGGAAACAAAUAUAUUUAUGUUUUUUUAACAUUAAUUUUUUGUUGUUUAUGUACUUAAUACAUGGUUUCAUGUGUUGAAAAUUUUGAGUAUUUUUUUUCUAUUUACUUAACUAGUAUAAAGACUAUUAUUAUGCCCAAAAAUGUGAUCUUUUCAAAAUUUUAUUUGUAAUUAUUAUGUAUUUGUUUGUUGGCUUUGUUAUCCUAAAAAUACAAAACAAAAAAAAAAAAAACUCAAAUGGUAAAAUAAAUAUAAAUACAAAAAUAAAUAUUGGUAACGACUCUCUCUCCCUCCCUGCCUCUCUCACACACUACAUACUCCACCCUUAAAAGAUAUUAAAAAAAAAAACAAAUCAUGUUGUAAUGAUGUUUCAAUGAUUGUGGUAAAAAAAAUUGUGUGCCAACUCAUUCAUGCCCUCUACCCUUGAUACUAUUACAGACAUACUAUUUUGGUAAAUAAUGAUAUUAGCGUACUAUUUUAAAUUUUUUUAUUUUUAUAUUAUGUAGCUAAAAAAGAAAAAAACAAAAAAAUAGAACAAACUAUGUGUGAAAAACAUUAUAAAUAAUAAUAAUAAAAACAAAUACUUUGAAGUGUUUAUGAAAACUUCCAUUUAUUUUCAUAUAUUUCUACUUUUAUCUUGCAAAAUUGUUUAAUAUUAAUUAUAAAUUAGACUAGUAAAAUAGUUUAAUAAUUUGCGAAACUUUUAGGCACAAUUUAAAAAUUUAAGAAUUAAAAAAUAUAAAAUUUUAUUAUAACUUUAUAAAAUAUACAUAAAUAAUUUUGAUAAUAUAAUUUUUUAAAAUUUAUAAUAUAAUAAAUUUUUUAUCAUAACCAUCUAAAAAGAUCAUAAAUAUACAUGCUUAAAAUUAAAAAAAAAUAAUUAAAGUGCUCAAAUUAUACUGAAUUUAGUGAGAUCUAUUAAUUACAAAUAUUAACUUAAAUGAAUAAAUAUGGAGGAGAUGAAAAGUCAAAGGUUUUGGAUCAUGGGAAAGGGAAAUCGUUUUCAAAUAAAAAUUGCUUUCAAUUUCAAUUAAACUUUACUUCAUACAGGUGUUGGUAAAUCGAAUAGACAUUCCAAAACUAUUCAGUGCAUAGAAAACGAAUUACCUGCAAAUUUCCAAUGAGUUUGAUAACCAACGAGUUGAAUCCAAUAGAGAUAAUGACACUUUUGUACACUUACAAUUGUAGGGGGAAGCCGACACAUUUCUCCAGAACUUUUUAUUCAUUUAUGGAUUUGUCCGUCCAUGGAUUACUUUAUUACGUCUUUCUCCAUGGGAACAUUGAAUCAAACCAUUGACGUCAUGGCUUAUGUUUGCAUUUUUCAUCUUCUUUAUUAGCGACGGAAAUUCCUUUCCAAUCCCAUGCGAUUUCGUGUUCAUAUGCAUUGUUCUCAUCGAUCCAAAACACGUGGCAAUAUCCUAUGUGUUCUCUGUCCUUGUCACCAAGAUAGAUCAUGUAUUUCCAACUCCACUUUAUUUCUAUAUAGGUGUGCAAGUGAGAUUUAUGCCCAAUCAGGAGGCCAGAGUUGAGCGUUUCAGGCGAGUAGCGCGAGCAAUUGGAGUUAAAGGCCGACAACAAAUAAUCUCAGAACCUUUAGGUACGUUUUCGUUUUUUUUUCUAUUGUUUUCUUUUUUGAAGAUUAGAAAGCUUUAAACUUUGUUUUAAUUUGGACAGUGCGUUUCGCACUUACUCUUUUAUUUGCUAAAAUAUCUCAGUUGAAAAUUUCCAGUCUGGGUUUGUUUUCUCAAAUCAAAGAUUGAUUAGUUAUUCAUAUAUGCACCAAGGAGUUAGUUUUUAAGAACAUAUUGUUUUUAGCUGAAAGAGUCUAAAACACAGAAUCGAAACAUUAAUUAAAAUUUUCAACUAUUGAGCAUAUAUCGCAUGUUUAAAUAUGUUUGUUAUCAAUAUCUCGUCAGACGGCUUGGUAUUAACAUUGCCACUAAUACCUACGUCUAUGGACAACGUCUCACUAGUCAAUAAUAAUCUAUGUCAAUCUCAUUGCUUCCAUCGGUGCUUAUCUAGAAGGUUAUUAUGCUCUUUUAAGAAACUAAUCAUGACACCACAUGUUAUAUCAACAUUUUCUUCUCCUCUCAUUAAACAAGGAAAUCACGUUUCACUAGCGAAGUUUUGAUGUUUUCGAAGUUGUGCUUCCCAGUUGCACCAUAAUAGAAGCUACUCAUACUGGUUACUAUAUAUUCAAUCAUUUUUGAAUUGUCCAUAUAUAAUCUUAUUAUUUUGUUGAUAAUUUAGUCCCACCCCCAUAAAACGAGCUGUUUUAUUAUUCUAUAUUCUUUGAAGUUCUCAUCCAUGAAAUAUACUGUUAGCUUUGAAGAGAUUAUAUGGUUUGACUCGAGUUGUCGAAAUGACAGGGAAAUGGCAAGUUACAGUCAAGGAUGUUUAAUCUUGGUUGGGAUUUUAGUGACACUGAGUUUACCAUAUUCACAUGCCUUUUGGGGAAAUGAAAAUAAGAUACAAACUGCUGUUUUUGUAUCACCUAAGUUCGUGCUCGGACCAGGAUCUGUGGAAAAUAGGUUCUAUUACAACGUCGACUUUCCGAAAGGUCAUAUUGCGGUGAAAAGUUUUGAUGCAGAAGUAAUUGACGAGGCCGGGAAUCCUAUUCCACUGCACGAGACGUAUUUGCAUCAUUGGGUUUUUAUUAGAUACUAUGUACGUAAAGGUGUGGAAAUAUCAGAGUUUGAUAACCCUAGAAAGUUUAACGAGUCGGACUAUAUUUCUGGGAGAAACAGUGGGAUAUGUCAGAAUCUUGGUCAGUUCUUUGGCCUUGGGUCUGAGACACGGAAAACUUCAACUCAUGUUCCCAAUCCAUAUGGAAUAGAAGUCGGUAAUCCUGCUGAGAUUCCUUCAGGAUUUGAGGAGCAAUGGAUGCUUAAUGUUCAUGCAAUUGAUACAAGGGGUGCUGAAGACAAGUUAGGAUGUACGGAAUGUCGUUGUGAUCUGUAUAAUAUUACAGUCGAUGAAUAUGGAAGACCUUUGAGACCUGACUAUAAAGGAGGUUUGUUAUGUUGUUACGAUCAUACACAAUGCAAGGUAAAACAUGGGUUCAAGGCUGUUAGAAGAACCCUUUACCUUAGAUACACUGUGAAGUGGGUUGAUAUGGAUAGGUCCGUCUUGCCUGUUAAAAUUUAUAUAUUUGAUAUUACCGAUAGUUGGAAAAGGAGCCGCAGUUCAACUGGGAUUAUAGCAGAGCACGAGUGCAAGGUAUAUGAACUAUUUCGUUUAUGUGCUGUAUAUAAGAGGCAAAGUCAAUAAUUUUAUUUUGUAAGAAUGACAUAAAAUUAUAAAAAUUUGAAGGAUUAAAAAUGAAAAAAGUUCAUUUAUUCAAAAGCUAAAAAGUUGAAUGAUUUGUGUUUUGAAAGGGACUAAAGGGAAAAUUUUUCAUUUAACUGCCUUCUCUUUUUACCGGCUUCGCCACUGUGCUGAAACACAAAAUAUCGUUUUUUGUCAAAUAGAAUAUUUUGUGAAAUGCCAUCAUUUAAUAUCUUGGAUGCAGGUUGAAUAUGAUAUUGAAUCUUGCGAUGCCACCGGAAUGGGCGAUGAUGGAUGCAUCGACACCAGAAGGAUAAGCCUUGACAUGCCAUUUGGUGGUUAUCUCAUAUAUGGUGUUGCACACCAACAUUCAGGUGGCACUGGUUCCGCUCUGUAUAGAGAGGUAUUGAAAUGCCUUACUUCUACUUUACACUUUUAUAGAUAGUUUUAAGGGUAUUUAUGUUUUCUAAAUAUUUUGAGAUUUAAACUCAAAACAUUUUAAUCUUUAUUAUCUCAAUUUUAUCAUUUCAAUAAAAAAUAUUUACUUUUUAUGUCACUUUUUAUAUUAAUUUUUAUAAAUUUGUUAUGUAAAAUUUUUCAUCCCUUGGAUGUAUCAUAAUUUAGUGUGUAUAAGUAUCAUAAUUUAGUGUGUAUAUAUAUACACACGCAUAUUCACUAUCUGUUGACGAUUAUGAGCUGUGUUGUACUUCAGGAUGGCCAACUUAUGUGUUCUUCAUUACCGACUUAUGGGGAAGGAGAAGAACCUGGAAACGAAGCUGGUUAUAUUGUAGGAAUGACUACCUGCUAUCCUAAACCCGGAACUGUGGAGAUAUCUAAAGGGGAGACUUUGAUUUUGGAGUCCAAUUACAGUAGAAUCAGGCAUCAUACUGGUGUCAUGGGGCUGUUCUACAUUUUGGUUGCAGACAAGUUGCCCAAGCCAAUGCAGGCCUUGCACACUGUUGUUCAAGUAAGUUUCCGACUCUCAAAUAGUAAAAUUGAUGAAGAAAAUUCAUUAACCCAACCAGAUGGUAACUCAUUAUUCACAAAUAUAUUCUUUUACUAAUGUUAAUUUCGAUUAAACCAAUGAUGUUUUAAUAUCAUCUGAUGCAGACACAGGACAGUAUUAUGGUGGUAACAAUCCUCUGGGCUGCGGUAGCUUUGAUCGGUGUGGUAGCUGUCAUGGCUGUUGCGGUUCAUUAUCGACUUAAACGCGAGGGAGAAGAUGGCUAUGAAGCAAUUGGGAUGUGAAUGUGCUCUUAUGAGCUCUACUCUGUAUUGCAUCUUACAGUUCCAGCAACUUUGUUGUCAAAAUAGUGAUAUGUAUAACAUAUAUAUAUUAGUAACUUUUGAACGUUACGUUCAUAUGGAAGACGCCAUUUUUGUAUAUACUUUUGAAAGAUAUAGAUCAUGGUUAAGGUGUUUCAGUGGUCCAAAACAAGAUCUGGCAGUGGCUCUUCUCUUUCUUUGGUGUGGAAUGGGCCCUUUGCUGCCUUAUUAUCAGCCAUGGAUUUCUCUUGGAAUAUUAUAUGAAUAAGAUGGUUGAAAGAAAGUCUAAAUUAUUUAUUUAAAAUGAUACUUUUAAUCUCAUUAAAUAAAUGUGUACAAAAAAUAAAAGGGUUAUUUGAAAGAAAGAAUUGAUUUAUUUUCAAAGAUUUAUUUACAUACAACUUAAAAUUUUCAAUUUGAAAUUUUGAAUGCAUAUUAAAAGUUUUCUAUGACGUGAAGGCGGUAGGGGACCAGGGGUGGUGAUUGAGCUUUUGGUUGAGUGUUUUUAGUUUUCUUAAAUUAUUCCUUUGAUUUUCGAUUUUCACAUGUUUUAAACUUAUUUUGAUAAAAUUUGUUUUACUUUAUUCCUUAGACAUUAUUUGGUAAAUUUAUUUAAAAAUCUUUUUUUAUAAAUAUUUUAAAAAAUAAAUUUUCAAGUGAAUAAAAUAUAAUGAAUAACUCUUAUAUAUUAUUUAAAAAAAAAACAAUUCAUCAUAUAGAAUUUUAAGUUUCCUUUACUAUAUUAAAUAUUUAUUUUUAAAUUAUAAAAAAUUAAAAUUAAUUAUAAAUAAAAAAAUAGAAUUUAUCCAAGUUGAUAAAUGUGGUUUUUUUUUUUUAAACUUGUUUUCCUUUUAACUUCUAAAAUGGCGCGAGAAAGGCUAUGUUUUAUAAUAUCUUUUAUAAUAAUAGUUUUUGUUUAAAAUUUUUAAUAAAAAUUUUAAAAAAAUCAUUAAUAAAUUGGAAAAGUAAUACAAUUUAAAAUAUUUAACUAAUUUAAGAUUGGUUAUAUUAAUGUUAGUUGCUCUAAUGUUAAAUUUGUUAAUAUUUAAUUUUAUAUUUAUUUUUACUCUACUUUAAUCAAUGAAUAUAAUUAACUUUUAUUAUAUUUGAAAAAUAUAAAUUUAAUUUAAUAAAUAUUUUCUAAUAUAUAUUUUUAACAUUAUAACAUUAAAAUUCAUAAAAUUUUAAAAUAAAGAUAUAAUUUAUUUAAAAUCAAAUUUAUAUUUAACAUAUAAAAAAUUAAACAAAAUGUAUGAAAUAACUUUAAAAAAUUAAGUAAUUUAUCCAAAAUUGGAAAUAAAUAGAUGAAAUGGAGAGUGACACUAUAGAAAAAACCUUAACGUGAACCUUUCCUUUUUUAUAUACAACCUUGUAAUACAUGGGAAGCGAAAGGAGCGCGGGAGGAAUAGUGGUUGAAGGGCGAGUAGGAGUGAGCUCAGAACGUUUUGGUACGCUUUGGUUUUUGUUUUCUUGUCUCUUUUAUUUUUAUUUGGAUUGCUUUCAUCGAUGGAGUUGGUAGUUAUUUCUUCCCCAAAUCUCACUUACUCCACAGUUGAAGAUAACAGGGUAAAACAUUAACUAUAAACGCGAUUCGUGCGACUCGAACUCAGGUUAUACUUAGACAAUGAACACCUUUAUUCAUCCGGCAAUCAUAUGGAGUUCUAAAUUUCUUUUAUUAAUUCUUAUACUUUAUAAAAAAAUUAUGGAUUUAAUCAUAUAUUUUAAUUUGAUUAAUUUUAGUAUUUUUAUUAUUUGAUUUAGUUAAAUUUAAUAUUUUUGAAUUUUAAAAUUUUAGUCUUAACCCAAACAACAAAGAUUAAAUUCGUUUCGUUAAUUCAAUUAUUGAUCUUGUACUAUGCAUGCAAUUGUAUAUUUGGUCCAUAUUCUCAAAUUGGAUCAUUCUAAAUCCUUGAAUUUUUUUUUAAAUUUUGAAAUUUCAAUUUAGACAUAAAUAAUAAUCGUUAAUCCAUUUACUGAAUUUUUAUUUAGUAAUUUUUGAAAAUAACAAUUUGAUAUAGCAUUACACAUAUGGCCAUAUGUUUGACGCAUCAGAUUUUGAAAAUAGUGGAGCAUAAUUAUUAUUUGGUUAGGACUAAAAUUUUAAAAUUUGAAAAGUACAAGAAUUAAAACAACCAAAUUAAAGUACAAUGACUAAAUUCAUAACUUUUGCAAAGUACAGAAAUUAAUAGCAGAAAUUAAACUUCUUAUUAAGUUGCUGAUAAUUAAUCCCCUCCCCCAUAGAACUAACUCUUGUCUUAUUACAUACAUUUUUUAGUUCAAAUACGUGAAAUAUAUAGUUAGGUUUGAAGAGAUUAUGUGGUUUGACUCAAGUUGUUGAAAUGAUAGGGAAAUGGCAAAUUAUAAUCUGGGAUGGUUAGUUUUGGUUGGGAUUUUGGUGACGUUAGGUUUACCAUAUUCACACGCCUUUUUGGGGGAAAUGAAAAUAAGAUACAUACUGCUGUUUUCCCGUCACCCAAGUUCGUGCUCAGACCAGGAUCCGUGGAAAAUAAGUUCUAUUUCAAUGUCGACUUUCCAAGGUCAUAUUGCCUUGAAAAGUUUCGAUGCAGAAGUGAUUGAUGAGGCCGGGAAUCCUGUUCCACUGCACGAGAUGUACCUGCAUCAUUGGGUUGUUGAUAGAUACUAUGUACGUAAAGGCCUGGAAAUAUCAAAGUUGGAUGACCUUAAAAAGCUUAACAGGUCAAACUAUAUUUCUGGAGGAAACCGUGGGAUUUGUCAGAAUGGAAUUCUUAGUCAGUUAUUUGGCCUCAGGUCAAAGACAUGAAAAACUUCAACUCAUAUUCCCGAUCCAUAUGGAAUAGAAGUCGGUAAUCCUGCUGAGCUUCCUUCAGGGUUUAAGGAGCAAAGGAUGCUUAAUGUUCAUGCAAUUGAUACAAGGGGUGCAAAAGACAAGUUGGGAUGUACAGAAUGUCGUUGUGAUCUGUAUAAUGUUACGGUCGAUGAAUAUGAAAGACCUUUGAGGCCAUGCUAUAAAGGAGGAUUGUUAUGUUGCUACGAUCGUAUACAAUACAGUGUGAAACAUGGGUUUGAGGCUGUUAGAAGAACCUUUUACCUUAGAUACACUGAGAAGUGGAUUGAUAUGGAUAGGUCCAUAUUGCCUGUUAAAAUUUAUAUAUUUGAUAUUACUGAUAGUUGGAAAAGGACCCCUAGUUCAACUGGGAUUAAUGCAGAGCACAAAUGCAAAGUAGAUGAACUGUCUCGUUUAUGUGCUGCAACACAAUUUCUGUUUUGUCAAAUAAAAUUUCUUGUGAAAUAUCAGUAUAAAAUACAUUUGAUGCAGACUGAAUAUGAUAUUGAAUCUUGUGAUGCCACUGGAUUGGGCAAUGAUAGAUGCAUCGACACCAAAAGGAUAAGCCUUGACAUGCUAUUUGAUGGUUAUCUCAUAUACGGUGUUGCACACUAACAUUCGGGUGGCACUGGUUCUGCUCAGGAAAGGAUUGUAUGAAAUUAUGAUUACACGUCAUUUUUUUAUUUUCUAAUAGGAUAAUGAUAAAUCAUAUUUUUCCUCUAAAUUUUUAGUAUUUUUAAUUGAAUUUGAAUUUUUUUCAAUAGGAAAAAGUUGAAAAUCAAAAGAAAAAUCUGAUUUGUCAUUCUCCUAUUGAAAAGGGAUAGGGAUAACUUGGAAUCACAGUUUGAUACAAUACAUUCUCGUUUUGCUCUCUAUAGAGAGGUAUUGAAAUCUCUUAUUUUUGCCAACACUUUUAUACCAUUAUGUAUAUGUAUAUGUAUAUGUAUAUGUAUAUGUAUAUGUAUAUGUAUAUGUAUAUGUAUAUGUAUGUAACGUCCCCUAACCCUAUACCGUCGCUGGAACAGGGUUACAAAACAUUACCAGUCAGUACAGCUCAAUUCUAGUUAUUAAUUAAAAUAAAUAUUCACUCACCCUAGUUUUAAGAUGUCGUCCCAUUAAUGGGCCCUCGUGAUCCAAUAUGAACAGUAAAUUCAAUUUGGAACUAAUUUAGAAUCACUACGAAUUUUUUUUUUUUUAUAAAUUUCAAAAUUCAUACUAUAUACCGUUGCCAACCAUAAUUUACUUAUUUCAUCAAUACUUUUACAACCUAAAUGACUCUCAUUAAACAUCCUAGGUACAUGCCAUUAUCAAUACUCAACAUACUUUACCUCAUUGAAUUCGGGAUCGGCCUGGAAUGCUGAUUCAACAGUCUAGCCUUAACUUAACCUGCGCACGGAAACAAACCGUACGCUGAGUAUACACUCAAUGGUAUUUCUAUAAUCCGAACACUUGAUAAUAUAACAAUUAAACUUAAAAAUCACAAUAACAAAUAUAACUAUUCAUUUAUUUAUUUUAUAGAUAAGUUUCAUUUACUUACCAUAAAAAUUCUAUACAAGCCAUAUAACAAACACAACAACAUAUUUGCUUACCGUAUAAAUUCUUUACUAUAUAUUCAUAAUUCAUUUGUAUUCACACUUUACUUCUUAACAAUAUAUCAUUUUAAUUCAUUCUAACAUCAAUCAUCAUCCAUUUGAACUUCACUCAUUUCAUGAACCUUUUGGUUCAUGUUUUCAAUCUCAUAUCUCAAUUUCAAUUCUCAAUUCAAUUUCUCAUUUCAUUCCAAUAGCUCAAUCAAUCAAAUUCACUCGAUUUAUCUUUUCACUUAUUUACCUCUAUUAACAAGACUCGGACUCUGAUAGAUACGUGGAUUCCUCCCAAACACACCAGAAUAUCCAACCCAAACACACCCGGAAUAUUAUAAAUACUCCAUAACACACCAGUAUAUCAUAUCCUCCCAAACACACCAAUAAGGCAUUAAAUGCCUCUUCGGAUAAACCGAAGUAUAUAAUAACAGAAACAUCUUCUUGGCCGAACUACAAAUCUCCUCAUCACAUCACAAAUCCAAUGGCAUGCCAUUUGUAUCCAAUCUGGUCCGAUACUGUUAAUAGGGUAUUUGAUUCACUUUCUCAAUUUAAUAAAUCUUUCAUCAAUUUACCAUUCUAAUAAUCACAUAUAUUCACACAUUUUCAUAAUUUCAUACAUUUUCAUUCAAUUCAACAAAUAUAUUUCAAUUAUUCACAUUAAUUCAUAAUUCAAUACAACUCAAUUCACUUUUCAAUAUCAAAUAUUCAAUUAUCACAAAUCUCAUAUAUUCAUAUCAAUUCCCUCAUACUCCAAUCAAUAUAAUUUUUCAAUAUAACAUUCAUUCAAUAUUCAAAUUUUUACAUAGAUCAUAUAUAUAAUAUAUAUUUCAAUCAAUAUAAAUUUUAUCAAAAUGAUUUCAAUCAAUAUAAAUUUGAUAAAUUUAUCACAUAUCAAAAUCAAUCCAUUUCAAUUGUAAAACAUCAUAAUUCUAACACUAACAGUUGUCAUAUGUAUAUAAAUAUAACAAAUAAUGACUGAGUUCGGAUUAUAGAAAUACAAACCGUAGUUUUUGAGCUAACUCCUGUUGACUUUAUCUUGUCCUUUCUUAGCCGAGAUUUCCGGUACCAUAUUGACUACGAAAUUAAUACAAUUCAUAAUCAUUAAUACAUUACUAAUUUAUAUCUUGAGUUACAAAAUUCUAAAUUAAGAUUCGCUAAUUUUUCCUGAAACUAGACUCACAAAUCUUCUUACCAUAAAAUUUUCAGAAUUUUUUUUUUUUGGUUUAGCCAUUAAGUACACUUUAUUCUUUAAAUUCACCCCUAUUCUGCGGUCUGACAGUUUCGACCCUUCUUCACUAAAAAUUAAUUAUCUCACAGUACAGAACUUGGAUAAUAUUCCCGUUGAUUUCUCCUAAAAAUAGACUCAUUAGGGAUUCUAAACAGAUUAAUUAUUUUUCUCCAAUUUUUGGUGAUUUUCCAAAGUCAGAACAGGGAAACCCGAAUUCAUUCUGACCUUGUCUCACAAAAUUCAUUAUAUCUCAUAAUUUACAAUUCAAUUGCUUAAACCAUUUCUUUUAUAAGAAACUAGACUCAAUAAGCUUUAAUUCCAUAUUUUAUUCAUCCUCUAAUUCAAUUUCUAUAAUUUUUGGUGAUUUUUCAAACUUAGACUACUGCUGCUGUCCAAAAUAGUCUUAGUGCAAAAUGUUGAUUUUCUACUUUUAAUUUCAAUUUAAUCCUAACUAAAUUCACUUACUUUUCUAUCUUAAUUCAUACUUUAUUUCUACUCAAUUUUUAACCAAACUUAGACAUAAUUAUCAAUUUUUCAUCAUAAAACCAUAAUUUCGAAAUUCUUUCAAUUUAGUCCUUAAAGCAUAAAACUUAUGAAUCACUUUACAAUUCAAUCCUUAUUUCAUUUCUAACUUGAAUUUCUAUCAAUUUAGCCUUUAAUUCAUCAUUUUACUCAACAUGAACAAUAUUUAUAAAUCUAAUAACUUUCAAAAUAUCAACUUAAUUUCAUCAAAACUUUGUUCUAAAGCUUUUAAAACAUCAAAAUUAAGUAAAAAUGGCUAAAUUGACAUACCUAUUAAAGUUUAAUGCUUCAAAACCUUGAUUUUUCCUUUUCUCCCUUUCUUUCUUUCUUUCUUUCCUUUCUUUCUCCCCUGUUUUUAUUUGUUUCUGUUUCGUUUGCUUUGUUUUUCUUUUUCAUUUCUUUUAUUUCAUUUUCUUUAUUUUAUUAUUAAACUAUUAUAAUAUUUAUUAUUUAUACAUGUGUAAAUUUAUUAAUACACAUGUAUUAAUUUUUCACCUUACACUUGUCAUAACUUUUAUUUAUUUAAUUAAUUAAUAUAAAAUGAUAUUAAUAUAAUAUACUUUAAUUAUUAUUAUUUUACUUAUAUAAUAAGUAAAUACACAUGUAUAAUACAUGUGUACCAUUUAUAUUUGUACACAUUUAACUUAUUUUAACCAUACAUUUGUCACCCUUUUUUGGCUUAUUUCCUAUUUAGUCCCUUCACUUUUCUUUAUUCUAUAAUUAAACUUUCACACUUAAUUCAAUUUAAUCCUUUCCACUAAUUACUCUUAAUAAAGCUAAAUUUAUUUAAUUAAAGUCUAAUUAACCACUCAACUGACUUCGUAAAUAUUUUUAAUAAAUAUUUUACGAAUCUAUUUUUUUUAGAAAUAGAGACCCAAAAAUUCACUUUCCCGAUAACCGUAAAAUUUGGGUCAUUACAAUGUAUAUGUAUAUGUAUAUGUAUAUGUAUAUGUAUAUGUAUAUGUAUAUGUAUAUGUAUAUGUAUAUGUAUAUGCGAUCUGAUGAUGACGAGCUGUCUCUGUUUGAUUUUGGUGAAUUUCAGGAUGGCCAACUUAUGAGGAAGGAGAAGAACCAGGAAACGAAGCUGGUUACAUUGUAGAGAUGACCACCUACUAUCCUCAACCCGGAACUGUGGAGAUAUCUAAAGGGGAGACUUUGAUUUUGGAGUCCAAUUACAGUAGAAUCAGGCAUAAUACUGGUGUCAUGGGGCUGUUUUACAUUUUGAUCGCAGACGAGUUGCCCAAGCCAAUGCACACUUUUGUUCAAGUAAGUUUCCAACCCUCAAAUAGUAAAUAUUGAUGAAGAAAAUUCAUUAAUCCAACUUCAUUAAUUCAAAAUUAUAUUCAUUUACAGAUGUUAACUUCGAUUAAACCAAUGAUGUUUUAAUUAAUGUAACAAUCAUCUGAUGCUGUUAGAAAUAGGUAAGAAUACUGAAAAAUUGAUUUAAAGAAGAGAAACAACUGAAAGCAGAUAGGUUGCAAACUGAAAAACUGAUUCAAUUUCUGAAUGAUAAAUUACAUGAUCUCUUUUCUAUUCUUCAGUAAUGUGUUUAUAUAGGUUAUAUAAACUUUGAAUAACUAAUUUAAAACUACUUACUGACUUGCUUAACUGACAACAACCUGCUAACUAUAUGAUCCUUAACAUUCACCCAGCUUUCCUGCGGGUAAUAUCUGAAGAAGGGUUUGAAAUCGAGCAAAACACGUCACUGAAAGUGGUUUGGUAAGUAUAUCAGCUACUUGGUCACAAGCCGAAACCUCACCUACUACAAUAGACCCAUCUGCUACUUUCUCGGGACAAAGAACAGGUCUAACUCAAUGUGCUUGAACUUAGAAUGUAAGACAGGGUUAGCCGCAACAGCUGCUGCACCGGAGCUAUCACACCAAACAGUAGGAGUAUCAGCCGACUUGACUUGUAGCUCUUGAAGUAAUGAAAGCAACUAAACAACUUCAGUAAUGGCUGCAGCAAGACUACAAUAUUCUGCCUUAGCUAUACAGCGAGCGACUACUUGUUGUUUGUUAGACCUCUAAGAUACGGGAGUGGAGCCAAAAUAAACACAGUACCCGAAGUGGACCGAUGGUCAUCAAAAUCUAGCCCCCAGUUGGCGUCGGCAUAAGCGCUUAACGAUAACCGAGCAGACGGCCAAAAAAUAACCCGAAAUUAAUAGUGCCACAUAGGUAUUGCAAAACGCGUUUUAGAACGGCCAUGUGAAUAUUAGUAGUAUUAUGCAUAAAUUGAUAUAUUCGGUUUACGGCGUACGCAAUAUCAGGAGGAGUAAGUACCACGUAAUGAAGUGCACCAGCAAGACUCCUGUAUUCAGUUGGAUCUACUAAACAUUCACCAUCGUUUUUGGUGACAGUAGACGAGCUCACCAUCGGGGUGUGGACGCUCUUCGCACUAGUCAUCAAUGCUCGAUCAAGGAUAUCACAUAUGUAUUUUUCCUAACACAAAUGGAGACACCGGAGGAAGACCGACGGACUUCGAUCCCAAGAAAAUAGUGAAGAUCACCAAUGUCCUUGAGUGAGAACUCAUCAUUCAGCAAACGAACAAACCAAUCAAUAGUGGUAGACAGGCUGCCAGUAAGAAUAAUAUCACCGACAUACAUCAAGACAUAGAGAGUGGAGUCGGACUAGAUACAAAUAAACAAGGACGCAUCAGAUCUGGAAACGACAAAACCAAUUGACACAAGAAACUGCUUCAGCUUUUCAAACCAGGCGCGGGGUGCAUGACGAAAGCCAUACAAUGCUUUCUUCAGACGACACACGAGUGGCUUGCCAGUCGAAUCAUAUUAAACGUACCUCGGAGGUUGUUGCAUAAACACUUCAAUAUCCAACUCACCAUUUAAAAAGGCAUUGUUUACAUCUACUUGUCGAAGAGACCACCCUAUAGACACAACAAUUGACAGAAUAACGCGAAUAGUAGUAGGCUUGACAACUAGACUGAAGGUUUAUUUGAAAUCAUACCUAGGAACCUAAGAACAUCCCUUAGCUACCAAUCUGGCCUUUCGUCGGGCAAUAGUACCAUUAGGAUUUCUUUUAAUCUUGAACAACCACUUGGACCCAAUGACCUUGCGGUUUGGUGGUAAAGGAACAAGCUCCAAGGUAGAGUUACGAAUAAGGGCAUCAUACUCUACCUGAGCAGCAGCUCGCCAUUCAGCAGUAGAGAAUGCUUCCACUAUUGUGGAUGGUUCCAUAGCUUCAACGAUCAUAGCUUUGGGCUUGAAAAUUCCUGCUUUAGCUCGAGUCACCAUCGGGUGAGUGUUGAUGUCAGCCAAUACAUUGGUUGAACCACGAUACGAUGAAGGAACACAUUUCACAUGUCAGGUUGACCCGUCAGUAUCAGUAGACAAUAAGCUAGACUAAUGGAUAUGACUCGGGCCAGUCGGAGACGAGUCAGUCGGUGACAGCCCAUUCCCAGCGGAUGACGAGUUAGAUAGAUUCAGGAACUGUGAUGAGUGGUCUACAAGAGGAGUAGAGACUUUUUAAAUAAGAGGAAAAGUGGUAGAUACAGACACACCAGAUUCCCGAUUCGGAGUGUUGAAGUCAGCUUCAAAAGAGAAAAAUUUACUUUCAUAAAAAAAUAACAUGUCUUGAAACAACAAUCUUACCAUUUGGAAGACAACAUUGAUAUCCCUUGUGUUGAGUACUAUAACCCAAAAAGAUAAAAGGUUAUGACCGAAACGCUAGCUUAUGUGUCACAUACAGACGUAAGUAAGGAUAACAACAACAGCCAAAAACCCAUAAAUGAUCAUAAGAGGGAUCACAACCAUACAGAGCCUGAAAAGGAGAUUGCCUAUGUAGAACCACAGUAGGAAGGAGAUUGAUAAGAUACACUACACAACAAAACGCGUAACCCCAGUAUUUCAUGGAUAGAUUUGCUUGGGCUAAUAGUGUGAGGCCCAUUUCCACAAUGUGUCGAUGUUUGCGUUCAGCAACUCCGUUUUGUUCGGAAGUAUAAGGGCAAGUUAACCGAUGAACAAUCCCUUGAGACAUUAGAACAGACGUGAAGCCCCGCUACACUCCACCCCAGUCACUCUGAAUUUGUUUGAUAGGCUUGUCAAACUGCGUAUUGACCAGUUGCUAAAAUUGAACGAAACUAACACUUGAGCCUUUUGAGUUAGAAGAUAGAUCUACGUAAAUCAAGUGCAUACAUCAGUAAAUGACACGUAAUACCAUUUAUUGUCACAAGAAACGGCUUCAGGUCCCCAAAUAUCAGAGACAAUCAAAUCAAAUGGUUGAUAUGUAGUAGUAGACAUAGAAAAAGGCAAUUUAUGUGUCCUCUUUUUUUGACACGCGGUAUAGAUACGACCAUUACAACCUUUAUUAAACUUGAUAUUACAUUUGUCUAAAACAAUUUGAACAACAGAAGCAGAUGGGUGGCCAAGACGAUUAUGCCACAAAUGAAAGACAAAACAAUCCACAUCAUUAUUUGUAACCUUUGUGUAAGCAGCAAACAGAGCUUCAGCAGGUACUGGAAAAUGAUAUAACCCGUCACGAAUGUGGCCCUUCAGCAGGAAUUCCCGGGUCUUGAUGUUCUUAACAACACAAUAUGUAGGAUGAAAUUCAAAGAACACACCAUUACCAUUAGCAUACUGAGAUACUGACAAGAAAUUUUUUUGUAUACUUGGCAUACACAAUACACUAGACAAAUGUAGCAAUUUAGAUGGAGUGGGUAAAACACCAUUAUCGAUUGAUGAAAUCUAAGCAGGGGUUCUAUCACCUAUUAAGAGAAAAGACAUACUUGAGUAUGGUGUGGUGUUACGUAACGCUGUCGCAUCCCAGCAGACAUGAUGACUGGCACCUGAAUCAGGGUACCAGGAUGUGGUACUAACAGGCAUGGGAAUAUAUGAAUCAUUGACAUCAUCAUUAAAGCCAACUUAGGCCGUGUUAAUAUGAGACCCGGAAGUGUCAGAAUAAUCAGAGGCAUAAAGAUCACCAACACGAAGAAGCCCAAUACACGGAUCAGAGCCUGAGUAUACAUGAGCGCGUGGUUUUGUGUGCCACGAAACUGAGACACCACACAUUAAUCUAGCAUUCGGCCCUAAGCCCUAUGAAGGAUCGACUUGAACAUUAUUAGUAGUUGGCCUUUGUGGCAACAUGGGAGCAGUCGACCUAUGUCCAUAAGGCACCUCAAUAAAUUGCCUAAAUUGCCCAAAUUCAGGCCCAACUCCAAGUGGUGCAUUAACAACAGGCCUAGGCAUAUUAUCUAACAAAGCAUGUGGCUAUGUGCAGAUUGGCCAUAUCUAUAGUCAACCACCUCAUUGACUUGAUUUUGGCCAAUAUAAAUUUGAUUUUGACUAACAUGAAAUUGAUUUUGACCAGCACUAGGAUAGUAACUAACCCUAGGUGUUUUCAUUUGAGGAGACACCCAUUUUUCAGUACUCAUUCAAAACGGAACAACUCGUUCAACACUAGACACUGGAGCAAUGGUAGAACAAAGCUUACGCGAUGUGGCAGGACCAUCUUGAUGCAGUACUGAAAGUGUCGAUUGAGGAUCGGGAUCCCUUGAUAGCGGUAGUAGCACCAUUGUGCGAGAUGCCUAAAUCGACUACAAAUUUGGCAUUUAAUCCGAGGCCGAAAUGGUUACCCCAGACCACGAGGGGACGAACGACUGCCAUGAAUAGAACUUUCUAGCACUGAAUAUGACACGGGCUUAACGAGAUUCGCAUGGAGAGAAAGCUCCUAGGCCGCACGAGUCUGUCGGCUUUCACCCUCCACAAGGGCGUUGACAAGGCGUUGAAAAGAGAGGAGACUAGUCGACAGUGAGGCCGAGAAAACGAUGGGCUCAAACUCCAGUGGUAGUCUGGCAAGUAUGAUUUCAAUCUUCUCUUCUUCUGAAAUCCGUGAACCUGAGGCCUCCAACAAAGCACAAAGGUUUUUAAUCCGCGCAACGUAAGUGUGAACAAACAUGUUACCUUUCUUGAGGGAAUGGAGCUCAUGGCGAAGACGCGACUAUUUGGCCCCCGUGUCAGCCGCAAAAAGAUUCGUCGCUAUGGUCCAAACAUCACAGGCCAACUUAGCGUCGGUGAAAGACAGAAGCAGAGAGACAUUGAUCGUGGAGAGGAGCCACAAAGUCAAGAACCGAUCCUGUUGUUUGAAUACUUGAGCCGACGGAUUCGGGGCUAACGAACCAUCUGUAGUUUGAACAAAUCGAGCCGGUGGAGGUAAGAUACCAUCUAGCAAGCCAAGAAGAUCAUAACUGUCAAGUAUUAACUUGACUUCUUGUUGCCAUUGCAUGUAGGUUUCUUCAGUGAGCUUAACAACUUCAUGACAUGGAAACAAAGUGACCACACGAUCAUCAGUGAACGGCACAAGAGUUGGCUCAACUGCGGCGGAAUCAGUGAAAUUCGUGGUGGCCAUAGAGCCAAAGAUCAUCCAAUGAAUGAUACCAUGUUAGAAACUAGGUAAGAAUAUUGAAAAAUUGAUUUGAAGAAAAGAAACAACUGAAAACAAAUAGUUUGCAAACUUAAAAACUAAUUCAAUUUCUGAAUGAUGAAUUACAUGAUCUCUUUUCUAUUCUUCAGUUGUAACACCCCCUAACCCUUAUCCAUCCUCGGAACAGGAUUACGGGGCAUUACCAGUCAAUUCAGUUCGAUCACUUUAAAUCACGUUCAAACCUACUCAAAACAUGUCAAAUUAGACAUUUUACGUGCUUAUAUGAUGAAUCUUUUUAAGUAUUUCACAUACAUUAUCAAAUAGUUCAAAUUCUUACCAAAUAAGCCAGUUCAUACCAUAUACUAUUACUAAAUCUAAAUUUACUUAUUUCAUUCUUACAUUGACAAUCCAAAAUGACACACAUAGUCAUUUUAGGUACAUGCCAUUACCAAUAAUUAAUAUACCUCAUCACGUUGAGUUCGACAUCGGCCUAGGAUACUGAUUCAACGGUCUGACUUUAACCUAUCCUGCAUACGGAAACAAACUGUACGCUAAGUAUGAACUCAGUGGUAUUUCUAUAAUCCAAACAUUAAAUAGUAAAACAUACACUUAAUAUCAUUUAAUGAUCAUAAAUAUUCAUUUAUUCAUUUCAUGGAUAAAUUCUUUACAACUCAUUCAAUCUUUAUCAUCUAUUAACCCAAUUAGCUUUUCAAAUAAAUUCACAAUCAUUUAAAUAAUAAUAUCUUCCAUUCAUAUGUCUCACUUAUACUUCUGUUCACUAUUCAAUAGCAGUAAAUAAUUUUAAGUAUCGAUCAAUUUAUCAGUUUCAUACAGUAACAUUCAAUCAUUCAAUAACAACUAGUCGUUCAAUAAUAUUCAGUCACUCUUUAAUGUCAGUUAUUCAGUAACGAUAAAUUAUCCAGUAAUAGUCAAUUAUUCAGUAGCAGUCAGUUAUUCAGUACCUUUAUUUACUCCUAUUAACAUGACUCGGACUCGGACAGAUACACGAAUCCAACCCACACACCGGGAUAGCAUAUAGUGUUUCAUGAGCCGGAGCCGGAAUAUACCGUAACGGUAACAAUAACAAUAACAAUAACGGUACACAGAGUACCUCAUCGAAACAAAUCCGGAACAGUAACAGUAACAGUAAGGUACAGAGUACCUCUUCGGAACGAAUCCGGAACAAUAACAGUAAGGCGACACUUAUAGUGUCUCAUCGACACAAAGUCGGAAUAUCCCUGAACACUUCCAAUCCUAUGGCAUGCCAACUAUAUCCGACUUAUCCCAAUACAGUUAAUAGGGUUUCUAAUUCAUUUUCCAGUUUCCAAUCAUUUCACAUCUCGACAAUCAUAUAUAUUCAUAAUUUGAUAUAAUUCAUUUCACUUUUCAAUAACAAAUAUUCAAUUUUCACAAUAAUUACUUAUAUCCGUAUAAAUUCAAUAAAUUAACACAUACCUAAUCAAUUCAUUUCAAUUAUAUAACACAAUAAUUCUCACAUCAAUUACUAUCAUAAUGUUCAAACAAAAUUCAACAAUAAAUAAAUAAUUUCACUUUUCAAUUCUAACCGAUAUCUGUUCUAAUUCAAAUAUUCAUCUCAAAGCACUUUCAAUACAUAUUAAGUAAUAAAUUCAAUAAUUAAAUAUUAAGUUCGGAUUGUAGAAAUACAAACCGUAAUUUUCGAGUUAACCCUCGUUGACUGUCUUUUCCUUUCUUAGCCGAGGUUUUUCGACACAACUUUAACUACGAAAAUUAAAACAAUUUUCAUAAUCAUUGAUACAAUACUAAUUUACAUUUAAUAUUUCAAUUUCUUAUUCAAUUUCUACUUUAAUUUCAAUUUUGAUCUUAACUAAUUUCACUUAUUUUUCUAUCUCAAUUCAUACAUUGUUUCUACUCAAUUUUCAACCAAACUUAGACAUUACUAUCUAAAUUUCAUCAUAAAACCAUAAUCUCAAGUUUAUUUCAAUUUAAUCCCUCUAACAUAAAACUUAUAGCUUCUUUUACAAUUUAAUCCCUUAAUCAAUUCUAAUUUAAAAUUCAUUCAAUUAAACCCUAAAUUCAUUAUUUUGUUCAACAUGAACCAUACUUAUAAACCUAUGAACUUCCAAAACCUCAACUUAAUUUCAACAAAACUUUGUUCUAAAGCUUCUAAAACAUCAAAAUUAAAAAAAAGGACUUAAUUGACUUACCUAUUUAAAUUCCAAGCUUUCAAAUCCCUAUUUCUCCCUUUUCUUUCUUUCCCUUUUUCCUUUCUUUCUUUCUCCCCUGUUUUUCUUUUCUAUUCUCUGUUUCUUUUUUUGUUUUGUUUUGUUUCAUUUCUUAUAUAUUUAUAUAUAUAUACACUAAUUAAUAAUAAUUAUAAUAAAUAUCUAUUUUAAUAAACAAUACAUGUAUUACAAUUAUAUUUAUACAUAUUAUUACACAUGUAUUUUAUCUCCACCCUACAUCUGUCAUAAUUCAAUUUAUUUGAUAAUAAUAAUAAUAAUAACAAUAAUUUAAUAAAUAUCUAUUUAAUACACAAAUACAUAUAUUACAAAUGUACACUUAUAAAUAUUUUUACAUUUGUAUGUUAUCAUGACCAUUCAUCUGAUCUUCUUUUAUUUAUUUAUCAUACAAAAACUCUAUAAUAUAAUUAAUAUAAUUAUAAUUUAUUUUAAUAACAAGUAUAAAUACUACAAUUGUACACCUAUAUUUUUGUACAAUUUGUACAAUAUCAUAUUCAUAGGGACAUUUUACAAUAUCAAUAUCAUACAAUUGUCCAUACUUUCAAUUUAUUUACUAAUAAAAAUCUCCUAAUAUAAUAUAUUUAAUUAGUAAUUAUCUUUUACUUAAUUUUAAGUAAAUACAUAAAUAUAAUACAAAUGUAUAUAUUCACAUUAUUACAAUGUCCACUAUCUUCUAAUUGUUCAUUACACAAAAAAUCGCACAAUUUAAUUAUUUUUAUCUAAUAAAUAUCUUUACUAAUUAAAUAAAUAUCACAAUAUAUAAUAUAUUUCUAUUAAUACACUUGUAUUAAAUCACUACCAUACAUUGUCUUUUUUAAACUUAUUUCAUAAUAUAAUAAUAAUAAUAAUAAUAAUCUAAAUUAAAUCAUAAAAAAAAUCUUUAGAUUUUUACAUUGCUUUGCCACCUCAUUUAUGCUAAAUGGCCUAAUUCCCUUUUAGUCCUUUUUAUUUUCUUUUAAUCUAUAAUUAGACUUUUACCAUUUAUUCAAUUUAAUCUUUAUACCUAAUUAACCUCUAUUCACCUAUCCACAAUCUAAUUAACCUCACAAUUAACUUCGUAAAUAUUUUUAAUAAAUAUUUACGAAUUCAUUUUUCAGAAACGGAGACCCAAAAAUACAUUUUUCUGAUAACCGUAAAAUUCGGGUCGUUACAAGUAAUGUGUUUAUAUAAGCUAUAUAAGCUUAGAAUAACUAACCUGAAACUGUUUACUGACUUGCUUAACUGACUAACAACCUGCUAACUAUAUGAUCCUUAACAGAUGCAGACACAGGACAAUAUUAUGGUGGUAACUAUGCUCUGGGCUGCAGCAGCUUUGAUGGGUGUGGUAGCUAUUAUCGAUGUUGUCGUUCAUUAUCGACUUAAACGUAAGGGAGAAGAUGGCUAUGAAGCAAUUGGGAUGUGAACGUGCUCUUAUGAGCUCUACUCUGUAAUGCACCUAAGAGUUCCAGUAGCUUUGUUGUCAAAAUUAGUGGUAUGUUCUAUAUUUGAGUAACAUUUGAACAUUACAUUCAUAUGAUAUAGGCUUAUGGAAGAAGCCAUUUUACAGAUAAAAUUGAAAGAUAUAAAUCAUGGUUAAGGUAUUUCAGUUGUCCAAAAUACGAUCUGGCAAUGGCUCAUCUCUUUCUGUGGCUUUUGCAUAUACAAAUACUGUUGCAAAAAGUAAAUAAGAAAAAAUAAAAAUAACAUUCGUAAAAGACAUCAAUUAGGGUGGUUUAAAUACAAAAGCAAGUAUGCUAUGCCAAAAAUAAUAGAUUCUUCUUAAACAUUUUUACGUUGUGUUGUAAAAGACAAUUUUAUAAUAAGUUUUGUUUUUAUAGUAUAACUUUACACGUACAAAAAUUAUGUUUUUACUAAUAAUUAUAAUUUAUUAGAUAUUUUUAAAUAAUAAAUAUUAUUUUUUAUUCACAUUAUAAAUUAUCAACAAUUCUUCUUUAGCUUAAAAUAUUGGAACAAAUAGUAUGCAUACAAAAUAGUAUCUAUCGAUUUGAUCUACGAAAGUAAUUCAAACUUCUAAUAAUGUUGGUGUCUGAAUAUUAAACUACAACUCUUAGUAUUAGAAGUGAAGACACACCGCACAUUAUAUUUAUAUAUAUUUCUAUCAAAGAUUGUUCACUUUUAGCACUAUUAUGUCGAUGUGCUUAUCUUGUCCAUAAGAAACAUUUACAAGAGAGGUUCCACUUUUGUUUAUUGAAGCAACACUUCUUAUGUUAAUAUAGGUAGGAAGGGUUCCUUUAUCGUCUCCAUUGUCUUAGUAUUUAAAGCAUAGUAAUAAAUUUCAUUAAAAGUAUUCAAACUCGUCCUCUAUAUGUGAUGGAAUGCAUUAGUUUUUAUUAAACUUGUUUUAGAUGAAUUUUUACUAAUGUAUCGUAUAAACAAAAUGAUAAUUUAUUUUUUAUCCAUUGAUUACUAAUUAAAAUUUAAAUUCUGUCUAAUAAUAUGAUCAAAACUAAUUUUAAUUGAUGAAACAAAAUUAUUUGCUAUCUGAUCACACUCAUUACCUUACAUUACAGAUUGAAUCUUUAAUAUAUAAUUAAUUCACAAGCUAACAUGUUUAAAUUUCUAUUUUACAACAUGUUCUUGGAAAUGCUCUGGCCACAACUUUAAAUUCCAUUAAUAUAGUUUUUAACCGUUCUAUUUCCAUAACUUAAAUUUAACUUGUAGUUGAAUAAAUUAAUAAAGAAGCCAAUUCUUUAAGAUUAAGAAAUAAUCCAAUGACUUUUCUUUUAACAAAAUAGCUAAAUUUAUUAGCUUAUAUAAUUUCACAAAUUAUACCAAAUCGUACUAACACUACGGUGGUAUAUAUAUAUAUUAUUUCUAUUAAGAAACCAACACACCCAUCACGUGCAAAUUCUUUUACUAAAAGAAUUAUUUAAUUCAAUAAUCAAGAUAAUAUAUAUUAUAUCAUUAUGUUCAUUUAUUAAUAUUUUCACUAUUUGUAAGAUCCUUGAUAUUAUUGACAUAGGAAGUCUCCAACUAUUCACCCUACUAACAUAACAACUCUUUGAAAUAUUGAAAAUUUAUUUAUUUAUCAACUUAAGAUAAGAACGUAUAACCAUUCUCGAAACAAAACGUCAAUAUUUAUAAUAUAAAACUAUAUUUAUAUUGUAACAAUUGACACAUCAAUAUUUUUACCAAUAGACACUUUUUUUCUUAUAACGAAUACACCACACAAUCAUAUUUAUUUGACGUUUAAUCAGUUGUAACAAAACAAUAAAUAAAUAUAUUGUUUAGUAAUUAUUCCAACAGAAGGACAACUCCUUGCUUAUAAAUUUUCAAUUCGAUAUACUUUGUCAUAUCCUAUUUGUUCAAAGUUCACCUAGCAAAUUAUAUAUAUAAUUUAUCAACGUAUCUAUCAAUUUAACCGACUCAAACUAAUAGUAGCAAGAUUAGACAUAUAUUAUAGAAUAGUGGUUAUAAGACAAAUAUUUAUUUACUGACGACAACAAACAUCUCCAUAAGCAUAAAAAUUAUUGAUAAAAGUUUAGCGGUGAAAUGGGAUAUUGCAACGAAAUAUAUGUCAUUGUUAUAGUAGUCGUUAAGGAAUUAGAAUUUUAGUCUCAUAAUUACUGUGAUUUUAGGCAAUUUUUUUUGCUUCAAAUUUGUUUAAAUCAACCUAGUUCUAGAAAGAUAAGAAUUUUUACGAAAAUUUUUUAAGGCACUAAAAAAAUAGUGUAAGCAACUCAAAACGAAAGAAACUUGGAAAGCUACAAGAAAGUAAUACACACAAUGUGUUUGAGUAAAUGCUCUUAACAUAUUCUUUAAUUGAAAAAUUUUCAUCAACGACUGAAAUUAGUACCUCUAUAAGAUGAGAGUCCUAAGGAUUUAAACUCUAUAAAAUCUUUAUCUUUUAGAAUUUGCAAUAAUUACUUUGGUAAGUUUAGUUUUAUUAGAGUGUUUCACUAGGCCACUAACACUUUAAAUAGAUAGACUUUUUCAUCUAUUCCACGAAUCGGACCAGUUUAAGUGGAACAAAUAAAUCUCAUUUAAUCUGUUGAUCUCCAUGGGACGCUUUGUGUACAUUCAUCAUAGGUUGUGAUCAGCAGCCUGUGAAGUCACUAUAACAAUGUCAUAUUUUUCGUUGCAAUAUGCUAUUUGACCACUAGACUUUUAUAAAUAAUUUUUAUGUUUAUGGAGACAUUUUUAUCCAUUAGUAAAGGUGAAACUAGGGGGCUAACAAGGGGCCCCGGUCCCCCUUAAAAUAGAAAAUUUUUCAUUUAGGUUGUAACACCCAUAUACUCAGUCUGACAAUAUGGACCCGAUAUAAGACUAUUACAUUUGGUGUCAAAGCGGUUUUGGCUAGACACUAUAUAAUUUAAACAUUUACCCCAUAGUGUAUUAACUUAUUUAACCCAAAAAUUAUUAAUAUAAACAUCUGAGAUCAUUGAUGGAUGAUCCAUUGCAUUUGGAAAUGAUUUAAAAAUUAUUUUUACUCAAAACAGAGGCAAAGUAUAGAUACUUAAACAAAAUGUAUCGAUACCUUAUAAAAGGUAUCUAUACCACUACACAAAAUCAAUACCAAAAUAGCAUUUUGUAACUCCAAAAAUUGUAUUCUUGAUGAAGGUAUCGCUACUUGAGGCCUAGGUAUCGAUACCUAGCCUUCAAUAUCGAUACCAACAUAAAAAACGAUACCAAAAUUAUAUUUUGUUUUAGAAAUUUUAAGUUUCAAAGCCUAGGUAUAGGUAUGCAUCGGUACUUUAAGUAAAUUUUGAUAAAACUCAGCUGAAAAUUUUGCUAAAAAUCCCCUGUAAAAUUUUUAACUCUUUAUAACACUUAAAACCAUUUCAAAAUGCCUUCAAGCUAUCUAAAACAACUCCGAAUCAACCAAAUUAUCGCAUUUUCAACCACAAACGCAAGCAUACAUAUAGCCAUCAACAAUUCAUUUUAUGUAGAAUCAAAAUACUUCAGUUUAAAAUACCAAAAUAGAUAAAGUUUAAAGAGUUUGCAUUUUAGUCCAUAACACUUGGGAACACAUUUGGACUACCUAUGUACAUGCCAUUUUAACUCAAAAUGUAGUACCUACAUUCGUUGCCUUUGAAGAUGUGAUGAGAUGAAAUGACUCCUAACUCUAGUUUAGCUCUUCACGUCUAACUGUACCUAUGCGUUGAAAUAAACGCGUUAUGCCGGUGAAGACUUAGUAUGCACUACAAGAAUAAAUAGGUAAAUGAAUCAUAACAUAAUGUUUAAUCUUAUUCAAUUAAUACAUACUUACACACAUACAAAUUUCUACAACUAUACCUUAAUUUAACAAAAUUCAACCUACCUUUGAAAUGUAUUAAACUUACCUCAAAACUCUGAUGAUUCACUUUUGUUUACAUUUCAUAUCCUUAGCCCAUAGUUGACUUUUAUAGAACAUACCAGAUAUACGGAACAAAUACAGAGGAGCAUUAUUAUGCACUAAUGAACAGAGAGCACUAAGGUGAUAUACAAAGAGCACGAAUGUGCUAAUAAUUGGAGAGCACGUUAAAGUCCCUUAAUGGCAUGCCACUAAUAUCCUAGUAGUUUUACAUUCUGUCUACUUGGGCAUUAAAAUCGGAUUUAGUACAAUUUCUCAUAAUAAUUAUAUUGUAACACCCCUAACCCGUAUCCGUUACCAGAACAGGGUUACGGAGCAUUACCGAAAUAAACAGAUCAAAUACAGACAUUUUAUAUCAUUUCUCAUUUAUAUUAGAAAUCAAUCAUAUUUUCCAUUAUAUGAGCCUUCAGGGCCUAAAAUAUGGAAUAGAAAUAAGUCGAGACUAAUCAAGGUACUCAGAGAAUUUUUCGUGAAAUUUUAAAAUUUUUCCUAGGUGUAGGGCACACACAGAUCUUAUUCACAUAUAAAAAGCAUAAGACUAAUUGAAUAUUAAAUAUUAAACAUUAAAUGUACAUUAUUAGUCAUACUGCAAAUACGAAUCAUAACUCAAAACUGUCUGAAUCCCUAUCAAUCAUAGAAUUAUGUUUGCACAUUAAUAAGCAUACCUAAAAGUCAUACAUAACAUGUUUGGCUAUAUAAAUAUAUACACAAAUCAUAUGCUCAUUAUUAAAAUAAUAUUUGAAUACUUAAUAAAUAAUCAAACAUUUUAACUUCAUAAUUAUACACAUACAAUUAAAAGACCAAACAAAUCAUAUCACAAAACUUUAUGUCCAAUAUCAUAUGCCGCAUUGGUCAUGGUCAUACAUUUACAUAUAAUUCAUUUAAGCAAAUAUGAUUUAAGACUGAUCUUACCUCUUUUCUAGUCACAAAACCAUGCGCAUAUGACCAUAUUAAUUUAAACCAUUUUGAGAACAAAUAACAACUACGAGUACACUCAAUUCACAUGCCAAUUUACCAUACCUAAAUUACAAAUGUAUAACCAAAACACCAACCAAAUUUUAACCAUAAUUCUCGUCCAACUUUAGCCAUUAACUAUGUACCAAAGUAACCAUAAGCUUCUCCAUUAAUUCACAUCCAUUUUACUAUUAUACCAAUCACCAUUUUCGAUCACAAUUAAUAAGUUCAUAAUAUAUUUAGCUUACUAGCAUACUAUUUUAACAUACACGACAUAUAAGACAUGUACAUUUAUACAUAUAUAAUACAUAUAAAAGGGACUUUAAAACUAAAAUAAAUAUACAUCUUUUAUUAUUACAACUUUAUGCAUAUAAGACCAUAUCUAUUUGGGCUAUUUUCGAACUCCUAUACUCUAACAAUACAUGCCAAAAACUAAUUUUUCAUACCCAUCAACUUGAACCUAAAUCCAUAGCCGAAUACUCACGUACAUAUUAUCUAUUAUUUCCAUCACAUAAAUCAUGCCAUAAAAUGCUUUUAAAACAACUUACCAUCAUAGCCAAAUAUACAUUUAAUGAACAUUACUCCUUUACCAAAUCAAUUAAUAACUAUCACAAAUACAAAACAUAUCAAUAUGUCAAACUCAUUACCUCACCUAUUUAGUCAAGCCGAAUAAUACAAUCAUUCACACUUAAUCUAUCCCAUUAUCUAAUUUUUAUCUAAAAUGAACUAACCAUAAUACCGAUUGUAUAUUAUACCUAGCAUUUCUCAUUGCCAAAUCACAAAACCAAACACCACAAGCAUAUUCACCAUAAAACAUAUCUCCAAAAUGAGUUGAAAACACAACCAAAUAAACACAAACAUUGGCAUUAUGCUCAAGCCAUUUUCACAUGGCUAAAUAUAUAUACAUACUUCAAGUUCAAACAUACUAUCUAGUCUAUAAAUGCCAUAAGUUCAAAGUUCAAACUUAUAGAAUACCGAAAAUCGAUCGAUAGUGUGACGGAUUUCCUUGACAAUCCCCGAGCUCGUAACCAGCUUCCAAAAUCUAUAAAACAUUAAACAAACACACACUGUAAGCUUGAAUAACUUAGUAAGUCAUAAGCAAAUAAUUCAUCAAAUAAACAUUAGCAUUGAAAUCUACUAGGCCGAAUAUGAACAAUCUCAAAAAAACGUAUAUAAUUCACUCUUGUAUUAAACAUAUUUCAUAUCUUCAUUACAAGUACUUUACUUACCUUAAUUUCAUAAUCAUUUACCUUCAUACGUACCUGAACCAUUUAGUUCGUCUUCACAUUCGAUCCUAACUCGAUUUUGCUCGUUGAACCAUUCGGAAUUAAUAAGGAUACUCGAAUAGUCAAAAAGCUCUUACAACGCCAACAUCCCAGACAUGGUCUUACAUGUAAUCACAUAUCAGUACCACUAUCCCAGACAAGGUCUUACACGGACUCAUAUACGAUGCCAAUGUCCUAAACAUGGUCUUACACGUAAAUUAAAAAUCGAUGUCAACGUCUCAGACGUGGUCUUACACGAAAUCACAUAUCAAAAUCCUAUGUCGUGACAUAUGUAUCCUAACUAUUCCUAAGGUUCAUAUAGGGCUUUCGAACAUCGAAACUCGAUUAAUUUAAGCUCGUAAAUAUUGCUCCUAUGUUUAAUUCAAUUCGGCAUAUACAUAUACACAAAUAAUAAUUCAAUUUGGCACUAUUAAAAUAUAUACAAUCGAAUUUAACGAGAUUUAUUUACUUAUGAACUUACCUCGUACGAAGACGAAUAGACCGAGUUGACUAUUCAUCAACUUUAGAUUUCCCCUGAUCCAAAUCUGAUUUUCUCUUUUCUUAAUCUAAAUUAAUAUAAAUUAAACUUAUAUAAUAAAAUAUUCAAUCAAAUUCAUCCAAAAACACAUAAAUGGGAAAAUUACACUUUUGCCCCUAACAUUUCAUUUUUUCACAAUUUAGUCCUUAUUUCACAAAACACAAAAUAUUCAAAAUUUGAAUACACCCAUAAUAGGCCGAAUUUACCCCUAGUCCAUAUAAGCCCAUAUGUUUCAUUUAUUUCACAUUUUGACCCCUCAAUUUGCAAAAUUUAUAAUUUAAUCAUAAACAGACAUUUUUAUCAAAAAUCACUUAAUUAAACUUGACAAUCUAACAACAUAUAUUUAUUUUUCAUUAUCAAACAUAAAAAAAAUCAUCAAGUUAUCAACAAUGGCAAUUCAUGAAUACAUCAUCAAAUUCAAAAAUUCAAGUAUGGGCUAGCUAGUACUCAAAGCAACGAUCUCAAAAAUGUAAAAAUUAUCAAAAACCGAACAAAUUACAUACCUAAUUUGAAUAACACAAGGGCCAAACCUUUAAAACUCUUUUCUUUCUCUUUUUAUUUGUUAUAUUCGGCCAAAAGAUGAACAUUUGCAUGGCUAUUUUAAUUUUUGUUUUCUUAUAACAUUAUUAAUUAGCAUUUUUACCAUAUUAACCUUUUAAAAUUAAUAACCAAACUAUAUAUUUCAUGUCUAAUACCGUCCAUGCAUGAUUUCAAGGGUGUAAUUUCAUCUUAAGGACUCCAUAUCAUAAAAGAAAUAGCUAUGUAGCACUUUAAUAAUUAGCUAGCCACUUUUACAUUUUACGCGAUUAAGUCCUUUUAAUUAAAUCGAGCACAUAAACAAUAAAAAUUUCACACGAAAUUUUCACACAUAUCAAUUCACAUAUAAUAAACAUCAAAAAUAAUAUUAAAAUAUUUUUCUGACUCGGAUUUGUAGUCCCUAAACCACUAUUCUAAUUAGGGUCUAAACUAGGCUGUUACAGUGUAGCUCACACGGUUGAGAGACACGCCCAUGUCACAGGCCGUGUGAACAUUCGAAAUAGGGACACACGGCCGUGCCCCAGCCUCUAUCUAAAUUAGGGUGGUUACUGGCUUGGGUUACACGGUCAAGCCACACGCCCAUGUACUAGGCCGUGUGAACAUUUUAAUUUAUAUUAAACUGGUGCAAGGGCUACAUGGCCAAGUCACACGCCCGUGUGCCAAGCCGUGUGCCACAUGCAGUUGAGACACACGCCCGUGUCUCUACCUGUGUAAAAAUACCUGAGCAUUCUGUUUUGCAAUUAAAAAGAUGCAGGGGACACACGGCCAAGAUACAAGUCCAUGUGCUAGGCCGUGUGUCACACACGGCUGAAACACAUGCCCUUGUCUCUGUCCGUAUGGACAAAAUAAGGUCAUUUCCAAUCCUUAUUUCUCACCCAAACUUGUCUUCCACCUACAUUAACACUUAAACACAAUCUCAAGCCAAUUUCUAAUUUUCAAGUCAAGCCAAAAACUAAGUCCUAUGCAUGAUAUAUUAUCACAUUUAUUCAAGUAUUCAACUUACCAAGUUGAACAUAUAAUCAUUUAAGCAUGUUCAUAACUAAUAUACCAAUCCAACCAAUUCAAGCACAUACAUACCAAACAUAAUAUAGUCUCAUAAAUAUAUAUUCAUCAAAACAUGUCAUCACUAGCCAUUCCAAUGGCUAAUUACAACCAAAACAUUCAUUUAUCAACAUUAGUCCAUUAACCUAUACAUGCUAUUAUGCCCAAAGAAAAUUUUGCUAUUUAUACCAAAAUGAGCCAAUAGAUAGUGUGAUGUAUCUCUGACCAACUUCCAACUUUCACGAGUUUCCAAGUACUAUAAAACAAAGGAAAUAGAACAAAAUAAGCAUUUGAUGCUUAGUAAGUUCGUAUAACAGGAAAUUAACUUACCAUUUAUUUACAUUUAAAUUAAGCAUGCAAAAAUUCAUCUAAAGAAAUUUUGCAAUAAGCCUAAUCACAUAUAAUCUCAAGAAACUUGUUAGUCAUACAUUUCAUGUAAACAUCAAGAAUCAAGGAUGAGCUCAUCAUGUAAUAAUUUUCAUAUACAUAGCUUUUCCAUAAUAAUUCAUCUCAAGUUUAGAUUAUUCCAUAUUAGAACUUUACUUGUUGAAUUUAUUAGAAAUAUCGAUGGAUACACAGGUAAUACACUUGAAGUGUACAUACUAUAAUCUGUCAAUUCAUAUUCAAGAGUGCUUAUUAAAGCACAUAAUCGGGAAGUACUCUCUCAAGCCAUAUAACGGGAAGCUCAUGUAAACCAUGUAAUGGGAAGCUUUUUCAAGCUGUAUAAAAUAAACUGUAUAACGGGAAGCUCAUAAGAGCCAUAAUCAGGAAGCUUAUGCGAGCCAAUAACAGGUAGCUCCAAAGAACCUCGGAAAGCUCCGGAUAGCCAUAUAUAGGGAAGUUCAAGCCAGCCAUAUCGGGAAGCUCCGAAGAGCCAUUAACAGGAAUCUUACAAAGAGCCAUUAACAGGAAUCUCACAAAGAGCCAUAUAAAGGGAUGCUUAUAAGAGCUGCGGCGUGUCCAUAACACAUGCAGGAUCACAACCGAUCAGAAUGCUCCAAAGAGCUAUUAACGGGAAGCUUACAAGAACCAUAUAACGGGAAGCUCGAGAAGGCUAAUAACGAGACGCUCUUUCGUGCUAUGGUGUGUCCGCAACAUAUACAUGACCACAACCAAUUCGGGAACCUUGUAUCUAUUGAAUUUCAUUUAUUCAAUCAAGACUUAAUACUUGCCAAGCAUUAUCAGAUAUGUGAUCGAUUUUCAUACAUCUAAAUUAUACAAUACAGAUACAUAACAUUCAAUUUAAACAUAUAAAUGUACACAAUUUAGUUACACGAACUUACCUUGACAAACGUUCAUGUAUUUGAAAUCUACUAAUUCGACACUUUUUUUUUCCACGAUUUAACUUUGUAUUUGAGUUUAUCCAGAUCUAAACGAAUAAAUUUAACUCAAUUUAAUAUAAUUCAUAAUCAAUUCAAUUCAAUUCACAUCCUAGGAAAAAUUACCAUUUUUCCCCUAUACUUUUAAUUAAUAAUGAUUUCGUCCCUAGGCUCGGAAAAUAAAAUUCUUACAAUUUAAUCAUUAUUCGAAGCUUAACUAAUUUUUACAUAUAACAUUUCCACCCCAUAUAUUUCACAAAAAUCAAAACUUUUCCAUAAAUUUUACAUCUUUUCAAUUUAGUCCCUAAAUCACAAUUUCAUGAAAAUUCACUUUACAAAAGUUAUUUAUCUAUCAACAAUCUUUCAUUUUCUACCAUAAAUUUCAUAAUUCAUGCAUAUUCAUCCAUGAAAAAACUUUAAUAAUUUGAUAACUUUGCAAAUUAGUUCCCAAAUAGCUAGAUUAGAUUAUUACGAUCUCGGAAAUAUAAAAAUUAUAAAAAUGGGAUAAGAAUGCUUACCCAAUUAAGCUUGCUUGAAUUCUUUUCUCUUAGCUAGGGUUUCCAUGAAAAUAAUUUGGGAAAGAUGAUGAAGUAAGAUGAUAUUUUGUCUUUUAAUUAAUUAUCAUCUUUUAUUUUUUUUCACUUUCCAAUUUAGUCCUUUUCUUUUCUUAAAUUUCCAUGGAUGAAUCAUCAAACUUAUCUACUAACUCCUCUUAAUGGUUUAUUUGUCAUAUAAUGACCUCAAAUUUUGAAUUCCAUAGCUAUUUGAUCUUUUUAGCUAUUAGAAUUUAACUUUUUCAUUUUAUGCAAUUUGGUCAUUUUCUCAAUUAAUCAUGAAAUCGAUAAAAUUUUCUUAAAAAAAUUUUUAUUCGACAUUCCUAUUAUACGAUAGACCAUAAAAUAAUAUUAAAAUAAAUUUUCUUUUGAACUCGAAUUUGUGGUCCCAAAACCACUAUUCCGAUUUCACUGAAAACGGGCUAUUACAUAUAUGUCUUGAAAUUUUUUUCACAUUUUUCCUAUUUCACAAUUUAGUACUUAAUAAAUAAGUCACAUGUAUAACAUCUUUUUCACACAUAUAUUUCUUUCACAACAUUAUUACUUAGUAUUCAAAUAAAUAUACUAUUUCAUAUUCUUCCCCUAUAAUUCUAUUUACAAAUCUCGUGAUUUUAUAAUUUAACCCUUUAUUUAAUAUCUAUUUAUAAAUAUAUAUAAAAUAUUUCUAUCCUAAGAAAUUUCAUAUUACAACAUAAGCAUUUAAAUAAAAUAAAAUAAAAUCUUAUAGUACUUACAACAAAAUGAUUGAGAUGAUGUAUUUUCUUUUCUUCUCACUCCUUGGCCUUUUCUUUCCCUUUUUCUUCAACUUGAUCCUUUCCCUUCCUUUCUUUCUCUUCAAUUUUAUAUAAAACAUAUAUCAUUUAUAAGUUAAAACUAAUAUCAUAUAACUUUUCUAUGUUAGUUAAUGAAAAUAAAUAUGUAUGACAUGAUAAUCUCAUCAUGUCUUACCUUAACUCCUUGAAAACCCAAAACUCUAGCUUGUGCUUUCUCUCUUUUAACACACUUAUGGAAGUUUUCUCAUGAGAUUAAGAUGCUCAUUAGCCUUCUUUAUAGUGGCGGAGCCAAUGGGGGAUUGGCAAGGGCCCUGGCCCCCUCCCCAAAAUGAAAAUUGUCCAUUUAGGCAUUUUAUAAUUUAUAAAAUUUUAAAUUAGUAAUUAUAAAAAUACACUUUGGCCCCCAAAAAUGAUAAAAAAUUGAUUUAAUCCUUUAAAAAUUAUAAAGAUAUAGACUAUUAAAAUAGUGAAAUUACAUUUUCACUAUCAUAAAAAUAUAUAAUUUAAUUCCGAACCACCACCUCAAAAAAAUUUCUAGCUCCGCCACUACUUCUUUAUAGUUUUUACUAAAGAAAUUUCGAAGAAAAAGGUUUUGAGCUUGAGAACGAUACAAAGGGAAAUAAAAGAAAAGUUUGAUAGAAACUUGGGGGGGGGGGGGUGAGUGAUGGUAGGCUUGGUGAAAAGAUGACAACUUUUCAUUUUUUCUCCAUUUUUACACCAUUUCAUAAAAAUAUCUCAUCUUUUUUGUAUUGAAAAAGGUCAAAUUGUUAAUAGGUCCUUAAGUCAUUCGUCUUUUCACUUUAGCCCUAAUUAUUGUCUAAAAAUAUCUACUUGGCUAAUUAUCAUCUUAUCCUUCUUCAUCUUUUAUAAUUCCUAGGACGACUCAUAUCUCACCCUGGUUAAAUUUAUUCUUAAUCCUUCCUUUCUUUCCACCACUACUAUGUAUCUCCUAACUUUUUAUUUUUCCUUAUUUGGCCACAACAAAUUCUCUAUUCUUUUAAUUAAAUCAAUACUUUUAAUCUCCUACUCGGUCAAAAUACUUCCUAAUUAGAUACUCAAAAUUCCUAUUUGUUCUAUUUCAAAAAUUUUGCACUAAUUUCUGAUCCGAUCCAUUACUGUACUUAACUUCGAGUUAAAAUGCGAAUGUUACGUAGGCCCUUUAAAAUUUUUAAAAUUUUAAAUUAAUAAAAGUAAAAUUACACUUUGUCCCCCUAAAAAUAUAAAAAUUUGAUUUAAUCCUUUAAAAAUUAUAAAAAUAUAAAUUAUUAAAAUAGUGAAAUUAUAUUUUUAUCAUCAUAAAAAUUAUAAUUUAAUUUCGACCCCUACUUUUUUUUAAUUUCACCCCUAUCAAUCGGUAAAUAAAUAUUUAUCUCAUAACCACUAUUCUAUAAUUUAUGUAUAAUCUUGCUACUACCGUUUGGAGUUGGUUAAUAGGAUUAUAAACUAAUUUAGUUAUCUUGGUUAUAUAUGAAAACUUCAAAUAAAUAUUAAAAAAGAAAAUCAUCCGAAAAACUAUUAUCUUGAUAAUAGUCCAAUUAUCCCAAAUCGUCAUGGCUAAAUCAUCCGAAAAACUUUAAAUAAAUAUUAAAAAAGAAAAUCAAAUUAUUGGCGUCAUAACUCAUAGCUUAUGUUUGCAUUUUGUUACGUACAAUUUCCCAAUUUCCCAAUUUCCCAUUCCCAUCCCAUAUCGAUGUGUAUGAUAUUCAACUUAAAUAUGUGAAGAGAAACGAGUGGCUCGUGGGGUAGUGGCUGAAGGGCAAGUAGCAGUAAACUCAGAACGCUUUGGUAAGCUUUGUUUUGUUUGAUCGUCCCUAUUUGUUUCCAGGUUUUCUGAAGAUUUGCAGCUUUAAAUUUUGUUUUCCUUCUUUGGGUUUUCUUUUUCAUUUGGAUUGAUUUCAUGUAUGGAUUUGGUAGUUGCCCUUGUCUGUAUUUCUUCCCCCCAAUUGCACUUACUCGUAAUUUGCUGAAAUCCCCAGUGGAAUUUUCCAGUUUGGGUGGUUGAUUUCGUUUUCAUUAAUAGUAUACACACAGGCAUACUGAUUCAAAAAUAUUGCUUUCAAAAUUGUUCCUCAGAACUAUCAAAAUAAACUGGGUGAAGAUGAAUAGUUAUCAACUGACUAUUUUAAAAUUUUUUUAUUGCAAUGAACUGUUGCCAAAAACUAUGUUGCUUCUGUACUUAGAUAUUUAGGUCGGAUACAUGUAUAUAUCUGGUACGAAUGAUUACAUCACGGGCACUGGUGACUACAACGUAAUCUUAUUAACUUGCUGAUAAUUCAUCCCCUCCCCCAUAGAACUAACUCUUUGUCUUGUUACAUUUAUUUUUUAGUUCAAAUACGUGAAAUAUAUAGUUAGCUUUGAAGAGAUUGUAUGGUUUGACUCAAGUUGUUGAAAUGACAGGGAAAUGGCAAGUUAUAAUUCGGGAUGGUUAAUUUUGGUUGGGAUUUUGGUGACGUUAAGUUUACCAUAUUCACAUGCCUUUUGGGGAAACGAAAAUAAGAUACAUACUGCUGUUUUCUUGUCACCCGAGUUCGUGCUCGGACCAGGAUCCGUGGAAAAUAGGUUCUAUUUCAAUGUCGACUUUCCGAAAGGUCAUAUUGCCUUGAAAAGUUUUGAUGCAGAAGUAAUUGAUGAGGCCGGGUAUCCUGUUCCACUGCACGAGACGUAACUGCAUCAUUGGGUUGUUGUUAGAUACUAUGUACAUAAAGGCGUGGAAAUAUCGAAGUUGGAUGACCUUAAAAAGCUUAACAGGUCGGACUAUAUUUCUGGGGGAAACAGUGGGAUUUGUCAGAAUGGAAUUCUUAGUCAGUUCUUUGGCCUCGGGUCUGAGACAGGGAAAACUUCAACUCAUAUUCCCGAUCCAUAUGGAAUAGAAGUAGGUAAUCCUGCUGAAGUUCCUUCAGGCUUUCAGGAGCAAUGGAUGCUUAAUGUUCAUGCAAUUGAUACAAGGGGUGCGGAAGACAAGUUGGGAUGUACAGAAUGUCGUUGUGAUCUGUAUAAUGUUACGGUCGAUGAAUAUGGAAGACCUUUGAGGCCAUACUAUAAAGGAGGAUUGUUAUGUUGUUACGAUCGUACACAAUGCAAGGUGAAACAUGGGUUUGAGGCUGUUAGAAGAACCCUUUACCUUAGAUACACUGUGAAGUGGAUUGAUAUGGAUAGGUCCGUCUUGCCUGUUAAAAUUUAUAUAUUUGAUAUCACUGAUAGUUGGAAAAGGACCCCUAGUUCAACGGAGAUUAAUGCAGAGCACAAGUGCAAGGUAGAUGAACUGUCUUGUUUAUGUGCUGCAACACCAUUUCUGUUUUGUCAAAAAAAAUUUCUAGUGAAAUCUCAUCAUUGAAUACAUUUGAUGCAGAUUGAAUAUGAUAUUGAAUCUUGUGAUGCCACUGGAUUGGGCAAUGAUGGAUGCAUCGACACCAAAAGGAUAAGCCUUGACAUGCCAUUUGGUGGUUAUCUCAUAUACGGUGUUGCACACCAACAUUCAGGUGGCACUGGUUCUGCUCUUUAUAGAGAGGUAUUGAAAUGUCUUAUUUCUGCGCAACACUUUUAUACCAUUAUAUAAUUUAUAUGUAUAUGUAUGUGUGCAUACAUGCGAUCUGAUGAUGACGAGCUGUGUCUGUUUGAUUUUGGUGAAUUUCAGGAUGGCCAACUUAUGUGUUCUUCAUUACCGACUUAUGGGGAAGGAGAAGAACGAGGAAACGAAGCUGGUUACAUUGUAGGAAUGACCACCUGCUAUCCUAAAACCGGAACUGUGGAGAUAUCUGAAGGGGAGACUUUGAUUUUGGAGUUCAAUUACAGUAGAAUCAGACAUCAUACUGGUGUCAUGGGGCUGUUCUACAUUUUGGUUGCAGAUGACUUGCCCAAGCCAAUGCAUAGCUUGCGCACUGUUGUUCAAGUAGGUUUCCAACUCCCAAAUGGUGAACAUUGACGAAGAAAAUCCAUUAGUCCAACCAGAUGAUCAUUCAUUAUUUCAAAUAUACAAAUGUUUAACUUCGAUGAAACCAAUAAUGUUUUAAUGAAACAAUCAUCUGAUGCAGACACAGGACAGUAUUAUGGUGGUAGCAAUCCUUUGGGCUGCGGCAGCUUUGAUUGGUGUGGUAGCUGUUAUCGCUCUUGUCGUUCAUUAUCAAUUUAAAUGCGAGGGAGAAGAUGGCUAUGAAGCAAUUGGGAUGUGAAGGUGCUCUUAUGAGCUACGCUCUGUAUUGCAUCUAAGAGUUCCAGUAACUUUGUUGUCAAAAUAGUGAUAUAUAUGUAUCAUAUAUAUUUUAGUUGUCAAAAUUGUUAAGAGUACAGCUGCAAAUCAGUUAGGCAGUUCAACUUGUUAGUAGGUUGUUACUAUUUGGUUAAUAGCAGUUAAGGUCAUGUACCUUAGUAUUAAUCAACAAUAAUCAAAUCAUGAAUAAUACACCAAAUGAUUCAGAAUACAAGUAUUCAAUUGUUACCAGUUUAGCUUUAAUAGUUUCUUUCAAAAAUAGUGAUAUGUAUUAUAUAUAUAUAUAUACAUACAUACAUACAUUAGCAACUUUUGAACGCUAUGUUCAGAUGAAUUGUGCAAAUCAUGCAGAAAAAAAUUUCUGGAAAAUCACGCGCAAAAUAAGGAGAGCAAAACAACGUUUUAUAAUUAAUGAAUUUAAAUAGUAGUCCAGUGGAUCUCAAUCGAGCUCCUGUAUCAGGAUUUUAAGCUCAAGUUCAGUUUGAAGUUCGGUUUACCUUUAAAAUUAUAAUUUUAGAAGAAUAUUUUAUAAUUUUAAAACAUCUAAUUUUAAAUUUUUUUUUUGAAACUUUUAGAACAUUUUGUGAUUUCAUAAAAAAAGCAUUUAAUGUAUUUUUUUUAAUAAUCUUAGCAUUAUUGUAACUUCAGAAUAAAUAUUUUUUAACUUUGUAAGAAAUAUUGAUUUUUUUAUAAUUUAUGAAUUCUUUUAAAAAAAUAUUGUUGGAUUACUGAGACAUAAGCUUUUUAAUAAUAAAAAAAUUUGAUGGGAAUAACAUUACAAACAAAAUGAAAGUUUAUAGUGAGUGAAAAAAAAAAAUUAGUUCUCUUACUCGUUUUAAUAUAAACUAAAAUAUUUUUUAAAUAGUUCAAUAUUGUAACUUAUAAUUGUUAAUUGAUAAGUUACUUCCAAUAAGCAACUUUUAAAAUGAUUCACUUUUUAAAAUUUUAUUUGGAAAGAGUAAUCAUGUUUAACUAAUUAAUAGUCACGCCAUUAUUGAAUAAUGGAAAAAAAUUGAAAAUAUUUUAAUAGAUAAAAAUUAUAAUAAAAAUAUUUUAUAUUAUGUAGAUUUUAUAAAUUUUGAACGUAAAUGAAGUUGGAAUUUUUAAGUAUUAAAUUAUGAUUUUAGUGGAUAACAAUAAUUUAAUAUAUAAUUAUAAAUUUUUAACCUAAAAUAUUUUGUUUCAAUAUUAAGGUAAAUAAAUGUGCAUAAAGAUUAUUUAGUGUUAAAUUUUGAACAUAAAUCUAAUAAUAAUUGAUUUUAUUUUUAUUAAAAUCUUUAAUUAUUUUAAGAUUGAUAAAAGAAACAAACAAAUUAUUUCUUUUUAAAUAUUUUAAUUCAAAUGUUAAAAUAAAUAAUAAUAAUUAAUUUUAGCCCAACACCAACCUCAACGGUUACAAAUCACUAAUAGUAAAAACUCCAAUUUACUUUCUCUAUCUAGCUCAUUCAAAUAGAUGUUUAGACAAGUGUGUAACUAUUCAAACAAAUGUUUGAACACAAGUUCAAACAAAACACAAGUAGUAAGCAAAUAAGAAAAUAAAGAAAUAAACAUAAGAGAUUUAUUAAUAUGGCUUUAAUGAUUUUUAUUCAUAAUAUUCUAAAUUAUCUAUUAAUUUAAGCCCAUUUAUUUAAAAAAAAUUAAAAAAUCAAAAAUUUCCAAGUGAAAGAUCACUUCAAGUAAAAAUUUCAAGUAAAUUGAAAAUUAUUUUACUAAAUAGAUUGGAGAAAUUGUGAACCUUUUAUUACUUUAUGAGAAUAAAAUUCAAAUUAGCUUAAGGGAUUUGGACCCUACUCCAUUACUUGAACUUAUUUGAGAAAUGAUUAAAAUAUUAAUAUGUUUACAAAUUAAAUUUAAAUUUAAACUUAAUUCUUUUAAUUUUAUUAUUUUAAACAAAAUUUAAUUUAAUUCAUUUAAAAAAUUAAUAAAUAUUUUCGUUCGUGUCAUAACGUAGUAUUAUUUAUUUGCUUAAAAUUCAUCUGAAACGUUUACAAUUCAUUUCCAGAAAAAUCAUGCAAAAGAAAACGUAUCGUAAUUAAAUGAAAAAAAAAAACCCUAAGAUUUCAUUAAUUAAAUUGAGAGUGUAGUCAGCCCAAAUUAUCAGGAUAUUAAACUCGAAUUUGAUCAAGGAUGGUAACAACACGGGUGAGCCAUUUUUAAGCUUAAAAACUCCUACUACUUUAUUUAUUUAUUUAUAUUAGUGUCAAAUUUUUAAAAUUAAAAUAUAUUUUAAGCCAUUUUUUAAAAUUAGUUUACUCACUCAUUCCUUUGUAUUAUUGAAUUAAAUAAAUCAUUAAUCAAUUUUCUAUCCUAAUUCAAUUGGUCUAUAUUAGUUCAUGGAUUAAUCAGUCUGAUGUCUUUUUUCGGAUUAAUACAUCGGUCAAAUUUCAGUUUGAUUGACUUGUUUGGUUCAAAGAAUCAUGACUCUAAAUUUCUACAAAACUUAGUUCUCUUAUUUUUAUUUUCAAUAAUUUAAUUCUCUAAUUUUUUAUUUAAAAAAUCACUUUUAAAUUAUAUAUAAUUACACAGUAUUUUAAUUGAGAAGUUAACGAAAUUAAAAAAUACAUGAAAAAAUCAAGUAAUAUAUUUCUAAAAUAUUUAAGCACAGAGCAGCUGGGGUGGUUGUGUUCCUGGAAGGCAAAGCCCAGAUAUUUUAAUUUUAUCCCGACUAAGUUAAUGCUCUCAAACUCCAUAAAAAAAAUAGAAUUUAAUUAAUUUUGAAUGUUUAAAGAGCUUUUGUGGGGAAUUUGAACCAUACUCUUUGUUCUACCUUCAAUAAUCUUGCACGUGUAUUUUCCCAAUUUCUCUUUCUCUCCCUUUCUUAGAACCGCCCUCUUUUUCCUUCCUUCAUUCAAUCCCGCUCUAUUAUUGUUUUCUUUGAUUGAAUUUGAUAUUUGGAACAGAAAAACAAAACACUGCAUUCAAACUACUUGGAAUUCAUCUCCAUUCUUUUUGAUUUUAUAAGCCUGUUCCUUUCGAAUUUAGACUCUAUUUUUCCUUCUUUUUUGACCUCCCUUACCCAAAAGAAAAGUCUACCUCUUUUAUUUCUCUCACUAAUUCCAGUCAAUUUUUUUGUAUCCUUUCCUUAAUUGAUUCUUGGGUAUAUUAUUUGUACCCCUUUUUUCAAAAAAAAAAAGCAGGAAAAAAAAAAUAAAGGUUACUUAUUUAUUUAUGUUGUUUGUUUCCGGUUUAAUAAAAAAACAGAUCUUCCCUUCGAAGCUCCAUGAUUGCAGAGAACAGUGCCGAGAUACAACAACAUUCACAGAAAAAUAAGUGAUUUUUGGAUUAAAGGUAAAUCAGAAACGUCAUCGUUUUGCUGUUUGUUGUUAUGCCUGGCGCAGCAGGGCAGGGCGUGGAACAUGUAGGCUUGCCUAAAAUGGAAGCGAAAUCCAAAGCUGGAUGUAGCAACGCCGUCAAAAAGAAGGGACCCGUCUCAAUGGAUCACGUUCUUUUGGCAUUACGCGAGACGAAGGAGGAAAGGGAUUUAAGGAUUCGGAGUUUGUUCAACUUUUUCGAUGCAGCCAAUGUGGGAUUCUUGGAUUACGGUCAGAUCGAAAAGGGUCUCUCGGCUUUGCAGAUUCCGGCCGAGUAUAAGUACGCCAACGAUCUGUUGAAAGUCUGCGAUGCAAACAGAGAUGGGCGCGUGGAUUAUCAAGAGUUUAAAAGGUAUAUGGAUGACAAAGAGCUUGAACUUUAUAGGAUUUUCCAAGCUAUUGAUGUGGAGCACAAUGGGUGCAUUUUGCCUGAGGAGCUUUGGGAUGCGCUUGUUAAGGCUGGUAUGCUAUGCUCCUUUUUUUUGUAGUAUUUUUUAUAUUAAUUUAUUUUUCUUGGUUUUGUUUUCUUUAUCUUGACAUGUUUGAUUGGUGUGGUGAGGUAGUUGCAUUAAUUGGGGUUGAUAGUGAAAUCAUUAUAAAGUUUGCUUAUAAAUUGAUAAAUUGUAUGUUGCUUUCAAUCUUCCUAUUGCCCCUUUUGCUCUAAAAACUUGCCAUCAUUGUGAGAUUGGAGAAAUUGCUUUUGCAGUGUUUUGUAAAUCAAACCGCAGUUUGGUACCUUUAAGGAAAGUAGAUAGCCUUAUUCAUCCAAAUGCAUUACUUCGGUUGGCAAUUUGAAUUCUUCCGGUAUGUUUGUGUUGUUGGGGAUAGGUUACAUUGCGAGUUGUGGGAAUGCGUUGUCUUGCUCAAAUUUCUAAACCGAAUUUGGAGUAACUUACAGUUAGGUGUUAGGAAGCUGCCUCUGCCGGUUUGUUAUGUAAAAGCCCAUGUUUGCAAUGGUGUAUCUUGGGACUGUUCAAAACCCGUCUAAUAUUAUGAGAGGUUAUAAAGCUUCACAUGCCCGAUGUGUUUGUCAUGGUGUUGAUAUAUUGAACUUUCAUAUUUUAGUUCUUAAAUCAACAGAAACAAAAAGAAGGUAGUUGGGAAUUUUUUAUUAUUAUUAUUUUGAUGUUCUCUUGUUCAAGUUUGUGUUCUUUUUCUUACAAAUUAUUCUGAGACAAAGUUUUGCUGAGCUGAAAUCUGAACGGUUUGUCCAUUCUAUUUUAAAGGAGCUUCUAAAGGGUGUUUUCUUUCCUCCAAAAUCUGUCAGACCAGAAUCUGCAUCUUUUUUUUUGUUUAUAUUUCCUUUAUGAAUGCAUCUGCAUUUGUUGAGGUGCCUCGGCAAAUCCUACAGUCUGGCCGGUAAGGAUCUAUGCAAGCUUUCAAGAGAGUUUGCCACCAUUUAAGGAAAGUGUUUGUCUGGCUUGAUAUCAAGAGAGUUUCUUGUCAGUAUAAAAGUUGUGUCAGUUUGUUUUUGCUGGAUGCUGAGGGGCUGGUUGUUUCCAUGGUUGUAAUAACAGUUGUUUUCAUCUUAUAAGCCCUGGCAGUUUGUAUUUUGCAGGGAUUUGUAUCGAUGAUGAGGAACUUGCACGAUUUGUAGAGCAUGUUGAUAAGGACAACAAUGGAAUUAUAACAUUUGAAGAAUGGAGAGAUUUCCUUCUACUUUAUCCUCAUGAAGCUACUAUGGAGAACAUCUAUCAUCAUUGGGAAAAGGUUUGCCUUGUAGAUAUCGGAGAAACAGCUGUUAUUCCCCAGGGCAUCAGUACACAUGUUAAGAGAAGCAAGUAUUUUAUUGCAGGAGGAAUAGCCGGAGCAGCUUCUCGCACUGCAACUGCUCCUCUCGAUCGCCUGAAGGUUGUUUUACAAGUGCAAACCACAAAUGCUGAUAUUCUACCAGCUGUAAGAAAAAUAUUGAAGGAAGAUGGUAUUUUGGGGUUUCUCCGUGGUAAUGGGUUAAAUGUUGUGAAAGUAGCUCCUGAAAGUGCUAUAAAGUUCUAUGCAUAUGAAAUGUUAAAGACUGUAAUAGGAGACAGUAGAGGGGAUAAGAAGGGUGAUAUAGGUGCUAGUGGGAGACUUUUUGCUGGUGGAGUAGCCGGUGCUGUGGCACAAUGUGCUAUCUACCCAAUGGAUCUCGUAAAAACUCGAUUACAGACUUGUGCUUCGGAAGGUGGAAAGCCUCCAAAGCUGGGGAAAUUAACUAAGGAUAUAUGGGUUCAAGAGGGUCCUCGAGCAUUUUAUAAAGGUCUUGUGCCAUCUCUUCUUGGGAUUAUCCCAUAUGCUGGCAUCGACCUUACUGUCUAUGAGACCUUGAAAGAUUUUUCGAGGUCAUAUAUUCUUCAAGAUAGUGGUAUUUAUACUAUCUGUCUCUCUUAUUUUAUGCUUGUUUUUUGCUCUUUUUCUUAUAUCUUCUUUUCGGGUUUUUCAUAUUUCAUUAAUUUGUGUGUUUCUUCUGAAUUUCUUACCCAAUUUGCUUUCUGAUGACUCUUUCUCCAUCUUAUAGAACCCGGUCCUCUUGUGCAACUAGGCUGUGGAACAAUUUCUGGAGCUUUAGGAGCAACAUGUGUUUAUCCUUUGCAGGUUAUUCGAACGAGGUAUGAUUAUAACAUGUAGAAAUUCUUUUUGUGGUCAUUCAGGUUCAUCCGUACAUCAUCGUAACUUGUUUCUUUUUUUGUUCUCACAGAAUGCAAGCUCAACGCACUACCUCAGGUGUUGCGUAUAAUGGAAUGUCUGACGUAUUCUGGAAAACCUUUCGGAAUGAAGGUUAUAGAGGUUUUUACAAAGGACUAUUUCCUAAUCUUCUCAAAGUUGUCCCAGCUGCAAGCAUUACAUAUUUGGUUUAUGAGGCUAUGAAAAAGAGUCUAGAACUUGACUAGAGUCCACUGAAGUUCUGCAGUCGGGUCUAGCUGCCUUAUAUUUAUCGCAGAACCGAAGUUAGAGUUGACGAAUACAAUGAUAAUAAGAUGAUUAAAUAAGUAAGAUGAUUAUUUUGAGUUAGGUGAUAACUCCCCUUCAGAGAAUGAGGUGCAUAGUUUUGUAGUAAAAUUUUUUUAGACCAGGUUUAUCAAAACGAAACGUUGAGAAUCGGGUUUAUAUGACAUAAUUAUGUCGGUCUUCGAAAUCAAUAGGUAUGAUACUGUUCAAUUUUUUCUUCUUUUGCCCCUCUUGUUCAAAUAUUGUUCAAGGCGGAUGCAGGAGAUGAAGGGGAUCUCUCAUCUCAUAGAAAUUGAUUUAUUGAAGUUAUAGGUUAUGAAAUGGAUUGAUCUGUAUUUGAUAUGCAUUCUAUUUGUUAAGAACAUAGCUUUUUCUUAAUGAUAUUGUUGACUAUAUAACUGAUUUUAUGGCUGUUUUAAUCACAAUUUUUUCCAUUUAACAUGAAAUCAGAUAUUGUUAGAUUUCAUGAAAAACACCCAACAUGCCCGGACGAGUCUGUUUAAUUUGUUUUGUUGAGGACGAGUAGUAGUUAAAGAGAAGCGAAGAGUUAGAGCAAGAAUUCAUGUCUUUUAUAAACGAAAGAGUGGAGAUUUUGUCUUGCACAUUAUAGCCGGCAUGAGUAUCUGCUAACUUAUGUAAGACUGAACUGACAAUUAACGAACCUGACGAUGUUUUGUAAGAUUUCAUGUUUUGAUGAAGAACAAUUUAUUCAUAAUCUGAAACAUUUCAAACCCACCCAUUUUGUCAGCUGAAAGAAAUUCAAGCAAUGAAGCACUAAUUAUUCAGAUGAAAUAGCAGACGUACAACCAACCAUUUUUGUUCAACAAACUUUGAGGGGAAAAAACAUAAAACAGCUUGGAACAACCAAUUAAUCUGCUACAAAUUUGGACUUUCUUCAUGUGUUUUAUGCUCAUUUUGAUCUGAACUCUGAUUGAAAACAACGAUGCAGAAAUGAAGAUAAAGACACAAUAAAGUAAAAAUAGAAAGAAAGGCAUGGCCUUCCCUUUGCCUCAAAUGACUUGCCUUUUAAGCCCCCUUUCAAAUCCUCUAUGAGGAGUAAGCAGAAGAGGGAUGGUUACUAAUGGUUGCAGUGUUCUUCUUCUUCUUCUUCUUUCUUCUCCACAUGUUUUUGGUCUCAAAGUUUGAGCUCAAAACUCAGACAGAAGAAACAAAAACAACUUAUUGCAUUGCAUUGCCAUUGUUUGUGCAACAACCUGUAUAUUUAUAUACACCUUUGAGAAGUGUUUAAACCUGUGUCAGAAGUCCAACAUUUCAGGUUUCUUUGGAUUUUAUUUUAUUUUUAAAAAAAAAAAGGAAAAAGAAUAAGAGGAAAAAAGACAAAGGAAAACAGAUCAAACCAAGGUGUCAAAUUUGCUGUGGUCCCCUUUGGUAUAAUUCCUUCAUUGGGUGAUCUUAUCUUCCACUAAGAAUAUUUACUUUUCUCUUGCUUUUGCAUAAAUCAUGGUGAGAACUUCAUGUUACAUGCAUAGCCUCCUUGGAUUUACUCUUUUCUUAUAUUAGUUUUGUUGAGGGUUUCAACUCUAGUAUUGUUGUUUUCUCUUAAUUUUGUUGAAAAUCUAAAUGCAUGAAGAGACAAAAAAAAUUUAUGAAGUAAAAAUAUCUCGUCAAGUACUUAUCACUUGUUGAAAGUACAAAACUUUGAUAAUGGUUUAUACAUAUUAAUCAGGUUUUUCACUUUUUUUUUAUGCUUCUACAUAUACCAGCUUAUUAUAAUUGUUCAUCACUAAACAUGAACAUAAUUUUUUUAAGUAAUGACUAGGAAAGAUAUAAAAGCAGCAAUAUCAUAAAAAAAAUGUAAAAUAUCAUAAAUAUAAAACACAUUUGAAAAAUAAUACAAAUACCAACUCAAACGGCCGGCCCAGUAAUUAAGCAAAUUUAUCUUUAUAUUCAUGUAGUGAGUUGAAAUGGCUAAAAUUAUAUGGUAGUAACGUGUGAGUUGUAUAAUAAUAUGUAAAAGAUAGCUGAGAAAAGGUUCUCUCUCCAAUGAAGAGGUCCAAAAAACAGACUGAAACCAUAAACAAAUGGAAAAGUUAGUUAAAGCAAAGUCAUGGCCAGAAAUGAAAGAAUAUGUAUAAAAAAAAUGUAAAUAUAUAAUAUACAAGUCUAAAGGGGAAAAGAAUAUUGAAGGAGAUAUGCCCUUUUACUUUGGACCGUCCACUUAUUAGUUUUAGUCUUACCCUAUCUUGGAAAAUGGUGAGAUCUGAGAAUCUUUGUGGAUUGGCACUAAUCCAAAAUUAGUGGAGAUUUUAACAAAUAACAUUUGAAAAUAUAAAACAACUUUUUUCCCUUCAUUAUUUAAUUCAUUUGGCUGGUUCCUUGGAUUAAUAAUUGAAGUUUGAAGAGCUUUGGAUAUAUUCUUUUUUUUCCUAAACUUAAUAGAGGUGGUAUAUAUUUUGUAACUACUCGAAUUUUAUGGUUAUUGGAAAAGUAUAUCAUCAGAUCUUUGUUUUUGGAAAAUGAAUUCAUAAAUAUUUAUUAAAAAUAUUUACGAAGUUAAUUGAGUGAUUAAUUAAGUUUUUGUGAGUGAAUUUAGCUUAAUUUAGAAUAAUUAAUUAAAAGAAUUAAAUUAAAUAAAAUGUAAAAGUUUAAUUAUAGAUUAAAAUAAAAUAAAGGGGAUUAAAUAUGAAAUUAUGUCUAUUUCAUUAGGUGAGCGUCAAAUGAGAAGAAAGAUUUUUCUUAGAUUAUAUAUUAUUAUUAAUUAUUAUUAUGGUUUUAUAUUAAAUUAUUAUUAUUAUUAAAUUAAUUAAGAUAGUAACAAAUGUAUGGUAAUGAUAAUAAACAUGUGUAAAAUACAUGAAAAUACACUUGCAAUAUAUUGGUAUAUUUUCUUAAGUAAUAAGUAAAAAAUAUUUAUUAAAUAUUAUUAUAUUAUGAAAUAAACUAAAUUGUGACAAAUGGAUGGUAAUGAUGAUAUACAAAAUAGUGAUAUAUAAGUGUACAUUUGUAAUAUAUCUAUUUAUUUACUAAAUAGAUAUUUAUUAUAAUAAUUAUUAUAUUAAAUUAUUAUAAAACUAACUAAAUAAAUAAAGAAACAAAGCAAAAGAAACAGAGAGCAUUUCGGAGGUAGAAGGAAAGAAAGGGAAAUUAGGGAUUUCAAGGUUCCAAGUUUAAGUCCUAACGUUGUUUCGAAAAAUCUCGGCUAAUAAAGGAAAAGGUAAAGCCAAUGAGGGUUAGUUCGAAAAUUACGGUUUGUAUUUUUAUAAUCCGAAUUUAAUUAUUAAUUGUUAUAUUUUAAUUUAAAUGUUUAUGGUAAGAAAAUUAAGGUAAGUGUAGUAUAUUUGAUAUUGAAUUGAGUGUUUAUGAAAUUAUAAUUUAUGUGAUAUUUGAGCAUUGGUAUUGAAUUUAAAUUGAAUUGGUAUUUAAUCCGAAUUUUAAUUAUUAAUUAUUAAUUAUUAAUUAUUAUAUUCUGGUUUAUAUGUUAUUGUAUGUAAUUAAGGUAAGUAUUAGUAAUUGUUAUUGAAUUGAAUUUAUAUGGAUAUAUGUGAUUGAUGUGAAAAUUGAAUAUUGGAUGUAUGUUAUAUUUGAAAAGUAUAUUGAUUGAGAAUGUGAUGAAUUAAUAUGAACAUGUGAUUAUUGUGAAAUUUGAAUAUUUAUUAUUGAAAAGUAAAGUGAAUUGUAUUGAAUUGAGAAUAUAUGUGAUUAAUUGAAAUGUGUAUUGGUUGAAAAAUUGAAAGUGAAUUGAAUACCCUAUUAAUAGUGUCGGACUAAGUCGGCUAUAGUUGGCAUGCCAUAGGAUUGGAAGUGUUCAGGAAUACUUCGACCUUGAGUCGAUGAGGCACUAUAAGUGUCGUACUAUUACUUCGACUUCGAGUCGAUGAGGCACAAUGUAUAUCUUACUGCUACUGUAACUUUGGUUUAAUCCGAUGAGGUACUGAGUACCAUACUGUUACUGUUUACUUCGGCAAAGCCGAUGAGGCACUGAGUGCGGUACUGGUGUGUUGGUUGGAUCUGUGUAUCCGUCAAUGUCCGAGUCAUGUUAAUAUGGGUAAAUAAAGGUACUGAAUGACUAAUUGUUACUGAAUGAUAUUGAUAAAUUGAUUGAUAUUGAAAAAUAUUGACUGAUAUUGAGCUUGGAAUAAAACGGAUUAUUGAUUGAAAUGUAAAUUGUUGAAUAUUAUAUGUUGAUAAUGAACAGUGAACUGAAACAUGAUUGAAACACAUGAAUUAUGUAACUCUAAAUGGGAUAUAAGUGAAUAAUAUUAUUGUUCAAAUGAAUUGUGAACAUAUUGUGGAAAAUUAUACAGGUUAGUAGAUGAAAGAAUUGAUUGAGUUUGUAACACCCCCUACCCGUAUCCGUCGCCGGAAUAGAGUACGAGGCUUUACCUAGGAGUACGAAACACUUACAGAUAAUUUAAAUAUGUUUUCAUAACAACUUGUUUCGAUUUCAUACUAUUUCAUAUUUAAGCUUUAUUCACCAAAGUAUUUGAAAUAUCAUCUUUAUGCAAAUAGAACACAUGAGGUACAUAAUUCCAUAAUUAUGAAUGAACACAUUUAUCAAACAUAUUCCACAUUCAUAUAUCAAUGUCUCAUGUCUUUAUAUAUCAAUAACCAUCAUUUUUCUUGUUUUUCAGAUAAUUAUAUGUAGCCAUUUAUAAGCAUGCAAUUCACUGUUUCUUCCUAUCAAUCACAAUUUCAAAUGACAAAUUCAUGUGAAUGAGCUCAACCUCAUUAGGUGUUUAAAUUCUGUCAUUUUGAUUCACAUACUUAUAAUUUACUAACAUAUCCUGUCAAACACCAAUCUCUGAAUGACAAAAUCACAUAAUUGAGCUUAAUAAUAAUAAUGAUAACAUUACUUGCAUUUCUUUUUCCACACGUUACAUUUACGACUUACCAACUUGUCCAUUCAAGGAAUGGCUUACGGAUUUGAGUACAUCGUGAUCUGAAGCCCGAAGUCUAGCUGAAGCACAUGUGCUAAGCGGGAAGCCCGAAGGCUAACUAAAGCACACAAGUGCUAAACAGAAGCCCGAAGGCUAACUGAAGCUCAUCAGAGCUGAACUGAAACCCUAAAAGGGUUAACUGAAACUCAUAUGAGUUAACGAAAGCUCGUAAGAGCUAAACGGAAAGCAAACACGAGAAUUCGCAACAAAUGCUGAAUCUCGGUUUACUUGGGUAAUUUACCGUCAAUUCAUCUUUUUCACUGAAAGAUCGUACUCAUUUCUUACGUUCCGUUCCUCCGAAAUACUCAGUUCAAUUUCAUAACUUUUGUACAUAAUUUACUUAUUUUCAACAAUUAACAUACGUAAAUAUUAAUCACCAUUCAUAAAAUAAUAUUGAAAUUUAAUAAAACAAAUGGUCACUAAAAUUUAGUUAUAUAAACUCACAAGUUCGAUUUUUGUAUUAUAGAGAUAAUCACAAUUUCAUAAUAAAUAUUCCAAAUAAAACAUUAUAUCAUUUCUAAUUCAACAUUUAUCAAUUAUAAUCGGGCAUGUGAUCAAUUUAUACACAAGUCAUUCAUAUAUAUAUAUGUAUAUUUUCCUCCUCCUCCUCUCCAUCCACAUCCUUAGUAUAAAUAACACACUUGUAAGUAACAUUAUCCAUAACUUUCACUAUUUACUUAUGUGAAUAUUCAAGCUAUCCAUCCGUGUCAUAGUCACUAAAUUAUUUUUAUCUUGAACUACAGAACUCCAAAUUAAUAUCCGUUAAUUUUCCCUGAAACUAGACUCAUGUAUCUUCUUACCAUAAAAUUUUCAUAAUUUUUGGUUUAAUCAAUAAGUACAGUUUAUUCUUUAAAAUCACCCUUGUUCUGCUGUCUGACAGUUCCAACCCUUUUUCACUAAAAAUUAAUUAUCUCACCGUAUAGGAUUUUAAUGAUGUUCCUGUUUGUUUAUCUUGAAAAUAGACUCAUUCAGGAUUCUAAACAUAUAAAUUUAAGCCCCUAAUUAUUUUUAUUAAAUUUUUUAUGAUUUUUCAAAGUUAGAACAGGGGACCCGAAUUCAUUCUGACCUUGUCUUACAAAAUUUAUUAUAUCUCAUGAUUUACAAUUCCAUUGCUAUACCGUUUCUUCUAUGAGAAACUAGACUAAAUAAGAUUAAUUCCAUAUUUUUUCAUCUUUUAAUUCGAUUUCUAAAAUUUAUGGUGAUUUUUCAAAGUUAGCUUACUACUGCUGUCCAAAACUAUUUUAGUGGAAGAUGUUUAUUACCAUUUUUCCCCUAAGCUUUUAAUAAAUAAUAAUUUCGUCCCUAUUCAAUUAGCCUCUCAAUUGAGCUGAUUUUUAUUAAUUAACACUUUAUGCUAUCACUUUAAAUUACUUUAUAACCUUUUGGAAUCAAAACUUCAGCACUAGACUUUAAUUCCAAACAUUUUCACAAUUAGGUCCUAAAAAUCAAUUUCUAUUGAAAUUACCUAAUAAAAUCAUCUCAUAAACAAAUUAAAGCUUCAAUUUCAUGCUAUUUCAUCAUAAACUUACAGAACUCAACCAUGACGACUUUUAAUUUCAUCCAUGAAAUCAAAAACUAAUGAAUUUAAUAGUAGGACCUAGUUGUAAAAGUCUUAAAAAUACAAAAAUUAUAAGAAAAAGGCAAGGAUUAACUCACUUGGUGCAAAAAUUAUGGAAUACCAGCUUAUAGAACCCCUUCUAUGGUGUUUUGGCUGAUGAGAAUGAAGAAAAAAUAAACAGAAUUCUAGAUAUUCCAAUUUGGUCCAAUUUUUAUUUAGCUAAUUUUGGUAAUUUUCCAAUUUUUCCCUUCUUUCACCCUUUUCCUGAUUUUUGCUCAGCUAUUGCCGCCCAAAAUAUCUCCUUUGGGCUUAUUUGCACUUUAGGUCCUUCCUCAUUUGACAAUUGAGCUAUUUAAUCCUUUUAGCAACUUUUACACCUUUUUCAAUUUAGUUUUUUUAUUUAAUUAACCAUCCAACCGUCAAAAUAUUCUGACGAAAUUUUAAUACUACCUCACUAACACUCCAUAAAUAUUUUUAAAAAUAUUUAUGGCUCGAUUUAUGAAGUCAAGGUCUCGAUACCUCAUUCUCGAACCAAUUUACCUAAUUAAUUCUUUUAAAUCACCAAAUUCAUUAAUUCAAAAAUACUUCUAUAUUCACAUUUGACUCAUAGAUAUUAAUUUAUUAAAUUUUUUACUCACUCGUCGGAUUUAGUGAUCUCAAAUCUCUAUUCCUGACACCACUGAAAAUUAGGCUGUUACAGAGUUAUAAAGAAUUUAUCUAUGAAUUGAACAAUUAUAUAAUUGUGAAUGUUAUAUGAUUUUUAAGUGAACGUUAUAUUUUUAUAUUAUUAUGUGUUCGGAUUAUAGAAAUACCACUGAGUUCAUACUCAGCGUACGGUUUGUUUCCGUGCGCAGGAUAAGUUAAAGUCAGACCGUUGAAUCAGCAUCCUAGGCCAAUCCCGAACUCAACGUGAAGAGGUAUAUUAAUUAUUGGUAAUGGCAUGUACCUAAAAUGUCUAUAUGUUUCAUUUUGGAUUGUCAAUGUAAGGAUGAAAUAAGUAAGUUUAGAUUUAGUAACAGUAUAUGGUAGGAAUUGGCUUAUUUGGAAAGAAUUUGAACUAUUUAAUAAUGUAUGUGAAAUACUUAAAAGAUUCAUCAUAUAGGCACAUAAAAUAUCUAAUUUGACAUGUUUUAAGUAGGUUUGAAUGUGAUUUAAAGUAAUUUAAUGAAUGGUUAUUGGAAUGUUUGGUAUCUUAAAUUGCAGGGUUGGUAAAUUUGUUGUUUAAGGCUCAUUUCGAGUCCACACGGCCUAGCACACGGGCGUGUGGACUGACCAUGUGAAAGCUGCACCUUAACACUUUCAAGUCAGAGAGUUACACGGGCUCUCAACAUGGCCGUGUGACCUAGCGACAUCGCCGUUUGAUCUAGUGACACAACCGUGUGAGUCACACGGGCAAUCCACACGGGUGUGUGGGUACUGUUCAUAAGGAAAAUUUUGAAAUUUUGAGGAAAAUUCGUAGUGAUUUUAAAUUAGUCCCGAAUUGAUUUUACUGUUCAUAUUGGGCUUUGUGGGCCCAUUAAAGGGACGAUAUUAAAUUUAUGAUAAGUGUAAACAAUUAUUUUAAUUAAUGACCGUAAUUGAACUGUAUUGACUGGUAAUACCCCGUAAUUCCUGUUCCGGGGACAGAUAGGAGUUAAGGGGUGUUACACAUUUUACAUCCCUAAAUUGUGUAAUGAUAAGCACCAACAUGUUUUAACUUAUUUUAUUGUAAAAUAUUUAAUCAUUUAGUCGUAUACAAUAAUCACACACUAUAACAACAUUUCGAUAUAAUAAUAAAGGAUUGAAACUUAUGAAAAUUUAAUAAUAUGCUCUAAGAGACUAUAUGUAAGGGAAUGAAAAAAUAAAAUUGAUUCUUUUGAUUUUGAUUUUUGAAAAUUUCUAUUAUGUAUGGAAACAUUCUUGAUGAGUGUUUGUAUCAAAUGAAAUCUAGUUAUUUGGAGUUGGUGGGGAGGAAAUAGUCUAUAGAGCUAUUGCAAAUGAAAAACUAGUGCAGAAAAGUGGUCCUUCAACAUGGGUGUUGAUACCUCCUUUAAAAAAUAGAUUUUAGUUAUUGUUGUAACAUUUAGGUAUCGAUAUUUUGAGAUAUGUAUCAAUAUCUCUAGAGCAUGUAAUGAUACCACAUGAACAAGUAUCAAUACCCUUGCCUUUUGUUUUGUUCUAUGACUACUGAUUUGCCAUGUAUCGGUACUUGACUAACAAGUUGUUUUAGAAACACUUAAACACUCUAAAGUAACUUGAUAUUAACUUUAAAAUAUUUGGUGUAAGAUGAAGCACAUUUAAAACAUGUUUCGAGUAUUAUAAGGUUUUGAAAAUUUUAAAAGAUAGUUUCAAUAAUGUUUUCAUUAAAUGUCUUAGUAAUAAAAUUUAUAUUAAAUAUUGUUGUAUAAAAAUUUAAGAUAUCAAAGCUAACACUAGAGAACAAAAGAAGAAGCAUGAAUUAUAUUUUUUUACUAUGAAUAAAUUAAUACCGAAAACUCAAAUGAAAGAAAGGCUAAUUUUAGCUUGGUAUUUUUUUUUCUUUCUAUUUACAUGGAAAUGUAACUUUUCUAUUAAUUAUUAAGAGAAUAAUUUUUUAUUAUUUGUAGGAAAGUAAAUUCCAAGAGCGAUUGGUUCAUUGAAUGUAAAAUUAUUAUUAUAAUAGUAUUACCAAAAUGUAAGAUUAUUUAGUAUAUUAGAAUGUAAUGUAAUUUCUUUUUAUUUGAUUGAUUGAAGGUAAGAUUAUUUAAAAGCAUAUUUUACUAAAUAAGAAUGAAAAAAGUUAUUAAACUAUAUUGAAAGUGAAAAUUAACCAUGAAAAUAUAGAAAAAAAAAAGAUAAUAAUUUACAAAAUGUUAACUUUUCUCAACUAAUAAAUAAUUAAUAAUGAAAACACACUUAUAAUAAUUAAUUAAAAAUUAGGAAAAUAUAAUCGAUAAAAUGUAAUACAAUAAACAAAUGUAUAAUUUUCUUAAAUAAUAAUUAUGGUUUUCGUUAUCAUAUGUUAUUAGGUUCUAAAGAAAAUGAAUUUAUAUCUUAAAUAAAAAUAAUUCCAACUUAAUAAAUUGCAUAUAACAUGAAUUUAAGAGCCAACCUAAAAAAAAUUUUGGGACCAAAAUUAAAUCGUAUAUUUUUAUGAUAGUAAAAAUUUAAUUUUACUAUUUUAAUAACCUAUGUCUUUAUAAUUUUUAAAUGAUUAAAUUAAUUUUUUAUCAUUUUUUAGGGGACCAAAGUAUAAUUUUACCAUUACUAAUUUAAAAUUUUAUAAAUUAUAAUGAGUCUAAAUAAUAAUAAAAAUCAUUUUAGGGGUUGGUGACCUUCCAACCCCUAAAUCCGUCCCGGCAUGAAUUGAAAAAAAAAUUAGUUAUUAAAUUUUAAUAUGGUAAAAAUUUAAAAAAAAAACAAGAAAAUUAUUAGAAUAACUAAAUGAAUUGCAUUUCACAAAUGAGGAGAUAAAUUGCAAAUACUUGAAUUUAAAUUUAAAUUUAAACUUAAAAAUAAUUAUAUUGUAUAUUUAUAUUAAGCUUUUAAUCGAGUUGGUAUUACAAGUUAAUCGGGCAUUAAUUUAGUUGAGAAAUUUAAAAAAAUUAUAUAUCUAUACAUAUAUGAGCUUCUAAUUAAGUUGAUAUUACAAGUUAACCGGGAACCAAUUUAUUUGAGAAAUUACAAAAAAAAAUGUCAUUUUUUAUAUACAAAGUAACAAAUAUUAAUAUGAGGGUGUUUUUAUCUUUUUUGUAUUUUUUCAAUAAAAUAAUACAAUGAUAAUAUUUAAACUUGACACACAUUUUUUUUGAGAGGUGAAACACAUAAGUUUUAAAGUUUUAAUUUAACAAUUUCAAUAGAGCUUAACUUGGUUGUAAUAAAAUUGUUAUAAAUAUAAUUUUUACAUAAAUUAUUUUCAUCCAUAUAAUCCAAUAUUGAAUAAGGAGAUAAACCUCAAAAAUAAUUGCAUAGCAUGUUAAUUAGGGGGAUAAAUAUAUGAUUUAAUGGUAAAAUGAUAAAAAUUGAAACAAAAAUACCAAUCAUUUUAGAAUCUUACAUUAAAAUAUGGUAAUGAGAUUAUUCCUAUAUUAGGGAAUCCUGACAAACUCAAAAUAAUUUUUGAAAUGCACACACAAAAAACAUAUGAUAUAAAAAUUCUUAAACCAAACAUUUAAUUAAAAAUAAAAAUAAAUCACUUUUUUACAAAUCUAGCAUUAAAAUCACAUUUUAACUCAUAAAUUAAGAGGUCGAUUGAGUUUUAUCUUAGUUAGUAUCAGCAUUGUUGUCAGUAGACCUGUUCAUGGGUCGGGUAGAGCCCACUCAAAAAGUGGGAGAGUUUGGAAAAAAUAUAAACUCGAAAAAUAGGUUUGGGCAAAAAAAUAAGGCAUGUUUUAAAAAUUAGUCGAGCCUCGGGUAAGACUUUUUUGUCCGAGCCUAGCCCAAAUUUACUAAAUGAAAAAAAAACCUGCUAAUUUUUUGUUAUUUUAAUGAUAUUUUCUUGUUGUUUUCUUCCUAUUUUGCUACAAUUUCCCUAUUAUGCUGUUAUUGUUUGGAUAUUAUAUAAUGCUUGUUUUAUUAUUAAUUUUGUUAUUAUUUUAGAGACAUUUUCUUAUUAAGUUGCAUCUGUCUUAGUAUUAUUUAAGUAUACAUAUUUUUUUAAAUUUAUUUUCAAUUUGUUCAAAAAUAUUUAUUUUAAUAUUUUUAGUAUUUUUUAUGUAUUAUAUAUAUUUAAAACUUAUGUAAAAAUUAAUAUAAUAUAAAAAAAAAUUAAUAUGAGCGAGUUGGGUUGGGCCCGAGUUUUAGCAUUUUUAUCCGGGUUGGGCUUGGGCAAACUUUUAGGCCCAUUUUUGGGUCAGUCAAGGCCUGGGCCUAGCAAAUGGGCCUAAUUUUUUUGUUGGGACCCAGCUUGGCCCAGCCCAUGAUCACCUCUAGUUUCCAGUAUAGGAGGACGUAGGUUCGAGUCCGCUGAAGCACAUUAUCCUCCUAUUUAAGAGUAGGGGAGGGGCUAUGAGUAGUUCUAGGCAUUGUAUAACAAAAUAAAGACUAGGAAUCGUGAUGUUACAUUUAUAUGAAAGGAAGUAAAUAAAAAAACAACAAAUAAUAAAUUAAGAGUAUAUAACCUAAGUAGCCACUACACUUUUACCAUGUUUCUGUUUUGGUCAUCCAAUUAUGAAAAUUUUCAAUUUAAUCACCAAACUGUUUGGAUUCGUUUUUUUUUUUUUUGUCAUUGUGCCAUUAAGUCUAAAAUGAUUGGAUGACACGGCCAUUUAUUUCUUAGAUAAACUACAUGAAUGGUCACUCAACUAUGAGUGUUUCUAUUUUGGUCACCCAACUAAUUCUUUUUGCGAUUUAGUCACUAAAGUUUUCGAAAUUAAAUUCUUUAAUUUCCAUGGCAUUAAAUUGAUAAUAAAAGUUUGAUGUAACAUUUUUUAUUGGCCUAAUAACAAUUUUUUUCCUUUAAUAUUUAUAGGUUCUAUCAAUUUAGUUAUAAUACUCUAGAACUUCGUAUUUUUAUAUGCUAAUUGAAUGUUUUUUUUUAGUAUGAUCCUACUAAUUUGGGCUACUUAUGGUCUUUUCUCUUUUAGGGACUAAAAUGAAGGCAAAAGUAAAUUUAAAGGAGAAAAGCGUGAAAUUAAAGAUGAAUUGGGCCAACAUGCGAAGUAGGGGAAAAGGGUGGUGCCAAAAAUGUAAACAUAGAAGACCUAAGGACAAAAAUGAAAAAGAAGAGAUUUUAUAGCACAAGAAUCUAUUUUAAUUUUAAUUAUAUUAGGAUAAUUAUUAAGGAUUUUAUUUAGAUUUAAUCUUAUGAUUUAUUUUCAUUUAUAUUUAUUUAUCCUUAAUUAUCUUUAUUUAUUUAUAUUUAUCUUUUAGAAUUUAAUUAGGAAUAAACUAGGUUUUUUAGUACUAUAAAUAGGGGAUGGAGUGGCACAUAUUUGAUAUCUCUUUUUUAUGUAAACACUCCCUCUCCCUCAACAGGGUAUUCAUUGCUUCUCCGCAUUACGGGGCUGACGUUUCCGUCCAUGUCCCUUAAUAGGUGACCUUUUCAACUUGUGCAAGGAACGGCUGCUUUGUAUGUUUUUGGAAGGUUGCACAGUCGGUUCGUUGGCUUUCUGCGUUAGAGGUCGGCGAAUCCAAGAGACAAAAUAGUGUGGUAUUCGCCGUUGGGAAGUGAUGAUCUAGCAGAAGAUAGUCCCACAAAAGCGAUUAUUGGCUAACGUCAGGUUUCGCAUUAAGUCUAAAUUUUUGGAGCUGAAAGUCGUAGGCGUCCUCUUCCAGUAUAACUGGCUUAUCCUACUCGAGAAGGGUUACUUAAAAACCAAAGAUUGAACCCAAGAAUUUGAACUAAAUUGAUAGAAUGUAUGAAUAUUGAAAGGUUAAAUUUGUUAUUAGAUUAAUAAAAAAGGUUAGGUCAAACUUAACAAUUUGAUGAUUAAAAAUUUUAAUUUAUUCGAGAAAUAAAGAGACAUGUCAUCUAGUAGUUUCAAAUUUAACCACACAAUAACUAAAAAUAGAUUCAAAUAGUUAAUGAUUAAAUAGAUAGUUUGAUAACCUAAACAGGAACACAAUAAAAUCUAAUAAAAUCUUAGUGACUAAUUUGGUUGUUUACCCUAAAAUCAAUUAUCAUACCAAAUGUUUUCCUAAACAACGUGACAAAAUGUGGGACCAAUUUAUAUAUAUAUAUAUGGAAAAAGCAAAACAAUAAUAAGCGAAGAAUCAGGAAAUGUGUCGCUUUCGUGGUCCAAUCAACUUUCGCCAAAUGGGUCGCGACCCGAACCUUUUCCUCCUCUAGAUUGGGUCAAGCUCCGAAAAACAAUAAUAAUAAAAAGGUUUCCAUUUCCAAGGUAAAUUAAAUAUAAAAAAAGUUAAACCACAGAUUAAAAUCGUACAUAGCGAUUAACGAAGUUGCAUGAUUUGCUUACGUGGCGAAAAACGGUUGGUUGAUUUCAUGCAGCACGUAAUAUCAUUGCAUCACUGUCACGAAGAUCUAUAAAAACGACACGCAAUUGAAGUUCUGAUUUUGAUUUCCAAAUUUUUUUGAAGUAACAAAGGAGUAUUUUCGAUCGUCUUUAGAACAAGGGUUCUUGGAUUGAUAUGAUGAUGGGGCGUUUUGCUCUUCUUCUCUUAGCUUUUGCGUCACUGCAGCUCUUUUGCGUCGCCGAUGAUGACAAUAAUGACGAUGAUGUGGUAUUUUUUUUAAAAAAAAUCUCGAAUUGGUGAAGAAUAUUUUGAUAUGUAAAAUUUGAAAAUAAGAUUUCUUCUGUUCUGUUUUUAGGUUUUUUAUGAAUCAUUUGAAGAGUCAUUUGAGGGUCGAUGGAUCGUCUCUAAUAAAGAUGAUUAUAAAGGUGAGAUUUUCUUAUUUAAUUUUAUGGAACUCUUCAUUGGGAUGUUUACUUAUGGAUUGAUUUUUAUCAUUUUAUAGUCUGAUUUCUUCAUGUUGUUUGUCCUGAAAAACAUAUGCAUAAAACCAAGAUGAAAAAAUUGAUCUUUGGGAAACUAGAGGGUACUUAAUGAUUUUUAUAAUCUAACAUUUAUGGGAUCCUUAAUUUUGUUUUUAAAUCAUAAAUUUGAUGAUCUCAUUGACAAUCAAUAUGUGCGUUAGGGAAUUGCUAAUGGAAACUAGAAAAAGUAUAUGCUUUGUGAUAUGGAUAUGGUUUUAAAAGAUAGAUGGUUGUAUGAUGUUCAUAAUAUAUGUAGGACUGGUAGCGUUGGGUGUAGAUAUUGAUGUUGUUUUUGGAGCUGCAGGUUUAUGGAAGCAUUCAAAGAGCAAGGGCCACGAAGACUAUGGUCUUCUGGUGAGUGAGAAGGCAAGAAAGUAUGCAAUAGUGAAGGUGGUUGAUGAACCGGUGAGUCUGAAAGAUGGAACCACCGUGCUUCAGUUCGAGACUCGGCUCCAGAGUGGACUCGAAUGUGGUGGUGCCUACAUUAAAUUUCUUCGUCCUCAAGAGGCGGGUUGGAAGCCUGAGGAAUUCGACAAUGAAUCCCCUUACUCCAUCAUGUUUGGACCUGACAAAUGUGGGACAACAAACAAGGUGCAUUUCAUAUUUAAGCAUAAGAAUCCCAAGAAUGGGGAGUAUGUUGAACACCAUCUUAAAUACCCACCUUCUGUCCCAUCCGACAAGCUCACUCAUGUCUACACUGCAACCUUAAAACGCGACAAAGAGGUUAAAAUUAUGAUUGAUGGAGAGGAGAAGAAGAAGGCAAACUUAUUAGUAGCCGAAGAUUUUGAUCCUCCACUUAUCCCAGCCAAGACAAUCCCUGAUCCUGAUGAUAGGAAACCAGAGGAUUGGGAUGACAAAGAAAAGAUUCCUGAUCCAAAUGCUGUGAAACCGGAUGAUUGGGACGAGGAUGCACCGAUGGAAAUCGAGGACGAGGAGGCGGUGAAACCAGAAGGAUGGUUAGACGAUGAGCCUGAGGAGAUAGAUGACCCUGAGGCAACCAAGCCAGAAGAUUGGGAUGAUGAAGAGGAUGGUGUGUGGGAACCCCCAAAGAUGUAUAACCCAAAGUGUGCAAUAGCUCCUGGUUGCGGUGAAUGGAAGAGGCCAAUGAAGAGUAAUUCUGCUUACAAAGGGAAAUGGUCUCCUCCACUAAUUGAUAACCCCAAUUAUAAGGGUGUUUGGAAGGCUAGGGAGAUUCCAAACCCCAACUACUUUGAGCUUGACAAGCCUGACUUUGAGCCUAUUGCUGCCAUUGGUAUUGAGAUUUGGACAAUGCAAGAAGGAAUACUGUUUGAUAAUAUAGUGAUAGCUAAAAACGAGAAGGUUGCCAAGUCAUAUCGAGAGACCAAGUGGAAACCCAAGUUUGAGAUUGAGAAAGAAAGACAGCAGGCUGAGGAAGAAGCUUCUGGUUUAGACUUCCUUGAAAGCAUCAAGGUCAUGCUUUUGCAAGUUUAUUUAUGGAAUUAUUUUUCGUUUACUCAAUCUUGUAACAUUUUAACUUAAAGUUGGUGAUUUCUUAAUCUGCAGAGGAAGGUGUUUAAUGCCCUAUAUCAGAUUGCUGAUAUUCCUUUCUUAAGCAACUACAAGCCUCAAAUUCUCGUAAGUUCACGUAAUAUGCUGUUUCUCAUAUGCAAUAUCAGUUUUUCAUUGGUGGGGAGCGGAGAAAAUUAAAUUAUAACUUUUAUGAUAGCUACAAUGUAAUUUUUAAAGGAUUAAAUAAAAUUUUUUCAUUUUUAGAUAAUUUACUAACUUAAAAUUUUAAAAAAUUUAAAUGGUAGAGCCUGCCAGCCCCCUCCUAGAUUCGCGGAUGACAUCUGAAUUUUGAGUUUUUCAUUUUAGGAUCACAUUAAGAAGGCUGAGAAACAACCAAAUCUCACCAUGGGAGUCCUAGUCUCUACUGUCGCCAUUAUCCUCACGAUUUUCUUGAAGCUCAUUUUUGGUGGCAAGAAUCAGGUUGGUUUAUGUUUCUCUUUUCUGCCGCUGUUUGUAUAUAUGUUAUUCAAGUUCGGAUUUGAUAUUUGUCGGGAAAUGUGCCCGACAUGGAUAUGUUUAAUCCCCUUUUCAAGAAUGCAAGGUCCUUUGAAAAUCCUUGGAAGAUUAUAUCCGUAAUGGAUACUUUAAGAACUAGGGUUGUUCUUAUUCCCUUGGUUAAUAUUUGUGCAGCAGUGCCCAAGAAUAGAAACAAAACCAGUACCCGUGGUCGCUGAAACAUCAGAUGAUCAAGGAAGCGAUGGAGAAAAGGUUGAAAAGGCAGAGAAAAAUGAAGCUGCUGCUGCUGCACGACGAAGGAGGCGUGAAACAUAAUAUUAAAAGGAAAAAAGUCUUUAAAACAGAGUGGUCGGUGAUCAUCAGUACCAAUUUCGGCUAAUUUUUGGGCUUUUAGGUGGUUUUCUCUUUGUAGCUGAAACAUAACAUCCUUGGUCCUUGGUUUUUAACUUUUUGGAUAUUAGAAAUUCCUUUAUAUUUAACAUGUAAUAUCUUUUUGCUGUCGAGUUCAAUGACAUGAGGAAUCCCCAAUUAGGAAAGGAUCGUUGGUUAGUUAUAUGAAUGUUUUCUAAGUGAAACGGUAACUUACAAAAUGGCUGAGAAUUUGAUGUAAAUGUAGAGCACUCCAUACAUUGUUACUUUUCAACUAGAUUUUUUUUUUAAAUCUAAAUUUUCUUUGUAACGACUUUUCACCAAAUUGAGCUUUCCGAAAUAAUAUAACUUCACAAAAUUUUUAGAUCGUCAAUUUAUUGGUAUAACUAAAAAUUUUCGGGGUAUACGAAAGGAAGAAAAUUUCGGGUAACUUGCUGAACCCAACAGAAAAGAAUGAAUUAAACUAACUAUCAGAUCAAAAUUUCGCCUUUUGAUCCAUGAAUAUGUAAAAACUACAGAAACCUUUAUUAGGAACAAGCACCCCCCACCCUCUCACAAAAGAUAAUUUAUAUUCUAAAAAAACACUCUUCAAGACUUCAACCUAAAAACUAUAUGUUGGUAACUUUUAAAAUUAAUUUUGUGCUCUUGGUAAUCACAUGUCAGUACUAUUUUCGUGUUUUUAAAAUUAAUAAAUCUACUCAAUUCACAAUUAUUUGAUCAAUGAGUUUCCCGCAUUGACCUAUUAUCACAUGACAAUUAAGUUACUCUCGUCGAACUGUUACGUUGACUAAAUGCAUUCUGACAUUCAAACCAAUACUUACAAAUAAUUAAAAAGGAAUUUCCGUACCAUAGAAAUAUCCAAAAUAAACAUAGAUUAAAAACUCUAUCCAACGGGAAUUUAAAAAAAAAAUUGUUCUUAUCGGUCUCCCACAUGGAAACCAAACAGAAAUGCUACAGUUCACCUUAUUUAAACAUGUAUUAAAAAAAAUUGUCUCUCGUAAUGUAAAACAAAAAGAUUUUUAAAAAAAAGUGUCAAAAUUUAAGCAUGUUAUGGUUGAGAUUUUGCAUUCGGGGAGCUCUUUAACUCUUCAAACGAGAAUGAUCCACACCUAUAACUUAGAACUCUUUAGAUGUUUAACCCCAAAAAGUGAUUGAUUAAUAUAUUACAAUACCUAACGCCGACCUCCGGUUUUCUUAGCCGCAAUUGGCGGAAGUAAAUCCUCAUCAUCCGACUCCACAUCUCCAUACUGCCACAUUCCACGCCGACCAGUUUUCGCUUCCUCCUGACACUCUUCCAAUUUAUUAAGCAUCAAUUUUCUCUCCUUCGAUUCCCAUUUCUUCCUUUUCUCCAACCUAGCAAGACCGUCCUGCAAAUAAAACAAACAAAUAACACGCCCGUAAGAUUAAAGAAAUUCGAUGCAGAAAUUAGUAAAUGGUUGACACUGUUUUGUCACAGCAACGAUGACCUGGAUAUGACCCUCUAAAUUCAUGAAAAUCAAACCUUUAAACAUAUCAGGAUUUUUAACAGAAUCAGAGGUUGAGUAGAACAGAGAAGGGAUAAUAUAUUGUUCAAACCUUCAGCAUUGCUGCAUUGAUGCUAUCCUCCGGAUCCUCGGUAAAGAGGGUUACAACGAGACAAGUACCAGUUCCCUGUCCCUUGACUUUUCCCCCGGAAGUAUCCCUUUCCUCUAUCACUGCCUUGAAUUGCAGUGAACUUCCUAGUGUCUGCUCACUCAAAAACUGGGCAGCCUCAGUACCAAAUUCAUCAUCGAGGCUUGGAACUUUCACAAAUGCAAGACUGCAUAACUGAGCAAGCCCAGGUGUUGCUGAUAAUGAAGCAUCAAUAGGCCGUAAUUGACUGUAGGGAACCAACUCUUGGUUUCCAUAAUCGAGAUAAAACACUUCAAACCUGUCAUUUGAAGACUGAACUCCUCCUCGAGGUGCAUUGACAAUCUUCACACGUCAAACAAGAUGCAUUCAGUACCAAAAAUGAAAAGAGAAGUGAAAGGUGAAAGCACAAACAUGUCAAAUGGCACACGAAUAUGCAUAAUGAGGGACAACCAUGAUUCUUAAUUUUAGAACAUUGAGAACCAUUGUUUCACAAUUUCUCCUGUUAGCUUCAAAAUAUUUUAGAAUGCCUUUAGUAUUUAAAUCUUGUUAUGGAUUCAAAAUUAACUGUGCCAGACGGACUUUAGGAAAAUUUUGGCACUCCUCACCCCCACCAUUCUUUAAACAAUAACAGGAGGCACAAUAUGAAACCAGUUGAAAAUUCUGCAGCCAAAACCAUUCACAUAAAGGAUUACAAAAAAGAGAACAUAUUCAGAAUCAAGUUUUCUGAACUAACCAGUGCACGAUUCCAUGAGUUAUCCAUGCUAAACUGAGCAAGGACAAUGUCGCCCUUCUUAGGAUUAAAAGCACCAAUCACAGGAGCCUCUUGGAUAUUUAAAGAUGCAAGCUGUUUCUGAAUAGAAGAUACUCUCUGAUCUCCAACUGUUUGGACGUAAAAUUUUCCACCAUUCAAUACUUCAGUAAUAACAACCUGAAAAUAACAAGAAGAAUAAGUUAUUUCUAGUUAAGUUCAUGAUUAAGUCAGAUAGGUAUUAUUUUUAGUUAAGUUCCUAGAGCACCUCCAGUAAUUCCUUUUGUUUGUUCUCUACAGGGGCAGAUCCAUUCGAAACUUCCUCCCCUUCAACAUAGUUCUCCCAAAUCUGCAUUUAGAAGUUCAAAGAUAAUAAAGCCAAAAAGUUCUAUUAAGCACCAAAAGAAUAUGUGUGAUAAAGAUAAGUCCAUCAGCUACUUACUUUCAGUUUCUGCCUCUUGGCAGAUUGUUCAGCCUGUUCGAGAAGAUGAGCAUCAGGAAUCCAGUCAGCACCAAAUGAAGUUUGUAGCUUUGCCAGGCCAGCUUCAACUAGUGUCACAGCCAUAUUGGUUCUGGACUCCCACAAAGACCCCAAAAAUGUUCCAGUUCUAUCGACAGUUUCCACUUCAAUCUAUGUAGAAAAACAUACAUUUGUAAAAAGGGAAAAACAAGAUCAAGGCAGACAAGCAAUUAAAACAGAAUCCAUACCUCCACAUCUCUCUGCAUGAUCUUCCGUCUCAUUACUGCUAUGGCUUCAUCUGAAUAUGGUUCAUCACGACCAGGACAUCUGACACCAGAAAAUGAGAAGGCAAUGCUACAAGUUUCCUUAGGGAUCAACAACUUAAAACGAUGACCGCUUAGGACAUAUUCCACAAUAGCUGGUAUCCUCUUGUGAAGCAGGAAAUGCAAGAAAUCUCUAGCUUUCUUGGCUGGUGCCUGAGAGUAGGGAAGACAGUAUAUGGAUAUUAGAAUUUAGAUUAGAAAUACAAUAUACAAACAAGAAAAUGAAUAACAUAAAGAGACACAAUUGCCAACCAUUGUGAGGUCUUGUAUGUGCGUGACUGGAGGAUCCUUGGCAGAAUGGAUUCCUUUCUUUCCAGAAAUCGCACGUGAUUCAGCAGCCAAAAGGGCAUCAUAAUAGUUUGAUCUUUCCUCAAAAUCCCUAUGUCUUAUCACUGUGCCAAAGCCACGUCCAACCACCAACUCUGCAACAUUCAAGCCAGGUGGCUGACUACCAGCUGUGGAUGGGAGUGCGGCAGGCGCAUCAUCACCAUCACCCUUAACAGAAGACAUUAGGAAGACUGAGCCAAAAUCCAUUACCCUUGAAUCUGCAGGUGCAGCAGCAGCUAUAGCACCAUCAGCCAUGGGAACCUUCCUUGAAUAUUCCAUUUCUACAGUCACCUGAGAAAAGUAUGUUGACAUAUGAUGAAUAAAGGUUCCUAACAGUUAACAAAAUAAUAUUUUAAAGAAAAAUUACUAACCUGUUUUCCAGUAAGGCGUGUUCUCAAAAACUCUCUUGCUUCCCGGGCAUAAGCAGCCGGCUUUUCAUCUCUACGAGGAUUGCCAAUUUUUGGACACCUAAUGCUUGAAAGAUUGACUCGGCGCUCUGCAAGAGGACUGCCAUAUGGGGCAGAAUCAUCAGCCACAACAAUGCAGUCCCCGCUAACAACCUCCACAACCUAAGUUGAAAAGUCAUACUGUUAUAAAUAGUUACAAAAAAGCCAAAAACCAUAUACUAGUGGUACAAGAAACUUGCAUGAAAAAGUAAUUAAAAAACUGCUGCUGUUACCUUUCCUGUGAAGUUCUGGUCACGGAUUGCCUUUGAGUUUGUAGCUGGGGGUACAUAAUUUGUCCAGAUCCUUAGCCGAGUCUUCUUGGCUUCAAGCUCUGCAGCCUUCAACCGCCGUUUGGCAUCAUCUUCCAUCAUAUUAGCACUCCAUUCAACAUAUUUUGCUAGACCCUUUAUUGUGAGAAGAGAUUGUAAGAUUCAGAAAGGAGGGGUGGGAAGCAAGCAUAAAAGAAUUCAAUCAUUCAGAAUAUGUAAACAAAAAUUCAAUAUAAAAAGGAUGCACAUAGUGUUUUAUACCAUUUCUGGUAUGAAAGAAAUCUGCUAACCAAAGAAACAGUUUAAUUGAUUAUAUGCCCAAGGCAUCACAUAAAGUAGUAUCAUAACUACACUAAGAUAUAGGUACAGAUAGCUUCUAACUUUAAAUUUGCAUAGUGGAUAGGAAAAACAAAGCUAGAGAUUUAAAACAGCUCAUUGGAGAAAACAGCUAAAGAAAUAUUUAAGAGAGGAUUAAAGAUAUAGAGAAAACCAAUCUCAGUAAAAGAUCUGAAAUCAAGAAAAUAUUCUUUUAACAAUAAAUCAUGACCAACAAAAUGAGAUAGAAGAGAAAAAAAGUUCAUUGCACAUAAACACUUAAGACACAGCCCCAACAACAAUCUCAAACAUAAGAAAUCUUUUCUUUAACAAAUAAAGGUGAUCUUCUGAAGAUAGUUCAAGCGUACAAACUUCUCCUCGAAUGGAGAACUGCCAAAUUAUUAUCAAGAAACUAAUGUUUUGGAAAUAAAAGUUUUUACAAGCAAAAAUAGAACAAAAGAAAAUUAAUUCAAGUCUAAAACAUGAAUAAUAGAAACCCUAUAGUUCAGUACUCAAUGCUAAUAUAACAGAUUAAACAUAUUUUAGGCAUGCACAGCAAAAGAAAUCCAAGAACUUACAUUUUCCACAAGCUCCAAUGCAAGGUCUUUCGCAGUUUCACCUUCAGGAUAAUAAACUGAUCCAAUCAAAUUGCUAAAUUUGUCAACACCUUCAAGAACAAUGCGGACCUACAACAUCAAUCUUGACUUUAGGAUAUCUAUACAAAAUGUACUCACACAAGUCGACCUGAAGUCUUUUUCACUCACAUCUCUAUUCAAGCAGCGAACUUCUGUAAAAUGUUUAGCUUCUGGCCCAAAUGGAUCAGGGGACACUUCAGCAGCAGCUGCUGCAGACGCAGAAAGCUUCUGUGCAGAUGUUAAGGGAGCCCGUGGCUCAGCUGAAGCAUCUCCAUUUUGAUCAUCGGAGGUCAAAUACGUUUCAACAACAGUUUCUGCAGCAGCCCUUCUACCCAUUGAAGGGGACUACACGAACAGGGAAAAGAAGGUAAAUAUUCACGAAGACAAAUUAACAUGCAAUUGAAAUAAAAAGGCAGAACUGCAGUUUAUAGUGCACCUGGAUACCAGCAACAAACACUUGCACAAACUGAAAAUCUGGGAGCAGAUAGACUCGAACAGUACUACCAUCACGAACCUGCUCCACAAUACCUUCCAUUGGCUUACCCUUAUUUGCAGCCAGAAGACCCAUGGCAUCCAAGUUACUAGGAUCACCAAUAGCAGAUGGAGGUAGAUCCCGGAUAGAAGCCUCAGCAGCACCAGGCACCUACAACCAUGAUAAACGUUUUCAUUUGAUAGCUACUCAUUGUUUCUAGGUCAGUUAGAUGCCCAAAUAUAAUUGGGCGUAUAACAAGGGGAAAGAGAUUACCUUGCUCCAUCGACCCACACCUUGUUGUUUGGCCUGUUCCUCAAGGCGUAGCAGUUCAGCAAGAAUAGGGCUUGCUUCACCUUUCUGCUGUCCUUGCUCCCUGACCUGCACAAGCCAGGCUCAGAUAACCUAAACACCAAUUUUUUUAAAAAUUGCUGAAUCACUUUCCCCAGUAUCACGAAAAAAACUGACAAAUGAAUUACCUUUGCCCAGCCUUGAGAGACAACCAAAAUUGCAGCAUUUUUGUCACCGAGGUAAACUGAGCCAAAUUCUCGACCUAUGCUCGGUACAGCAUAUUCAACUCUGAAAGUGACUUCCUGAGUAAAGAACAAAUUUGUUUAGGUCACCCUGAUUUUAAGCAAUAUCAUCAAUAACUAAAAUUACAUGAAUCAUUCGAAGGGAACAGCACCUUCCCUAUGCAGAGCUUCCUCAAAAAUUCUCUGCUCUCCCAGGCAAAUGGCUCAUCAAUACCGCCUCUACGUGCCUGUUAAUAAAAUAAGAUGGAAAACAUAAACACAAAGAAAAGCAUCGACUGGAAGUUUGACUCAAACAGCUUGCAACAAAAAGUUUACAAGUUAGAACUUAACAAUUAUGAAAUCAAGAUACCAACCUACUCAAAAGUAACUCCCAGAAUCAUUAUCCGAAACCAAAACUAAAUUAAUCAGCAAGAAAAUGCCAAACAGAUAUUACAAAUAAAUUUAAAAGCGACCAAGGGAGACAUAAAAGGAUAUUUAAAUGAGUUUUACCAGUCUGGGAGCAAUGAGAGAUGCCAGGGUAAUGGUCUUCUCGGGUGGAGGUCCAGGUCUGUUACUGGCCAUCGCCGUUACCACCAAGGAAUCCCCCGAUGGAACUGCUUUGACUCUCCCUUUGUACCAUCCCGUUCUCCCAGCUGCUGGUGCCGCCAUUCUCAACGGCUAAGAUCUACAACAAAAUUGCCAACCACUUCACUUUCAAAAUUCAAUAUUUCCGCAAACAAGCAAAAAUAUCGGUAACAUUCUAAAGAAACAUAAUUCGAAAUAAAUUCUCCAGAUCUGUAACAUAUGAUCCACAGGAAUUUCAAAACGAUCUAAAAUCCAUCCUUUGAAUAUUCUAAAACGCUACAUGCAUCAACGGAACACUAAAAUAUUAAUAACAGUAUCAAUUCAAAAGGCCUUGAUCUAUUAAUUUCAUCGAACGAGACCAAUGAAAAAAAUAACAAACAGUUUGAAUAAGAAAGAACAAAAUCGAAACAAUUUCAUCUAAAAUCAGAUUAAACAAUGCCAAAUAUAAUACCAGAAUCGAAAAUUAUCGGUCUUGGCUUUUACCUGGAUCAAACGAGGAAAACUCCUUAUUGGAUCUACCGAAGAACGGAGAAUGAGAGACUUUAUAUAAUGAUGAUAAGCUCCGUUAUUCUGUAUUAUUUAAAAAAAUUAAAUUAAAUAUAAAAAAAAACUCAGAGUAGGAGAGAGAGGGCGGCGAUCAGAGACAGAGAGAAGUGGAAGAUUGUGCGCGUAAGAGCCAAUAUAUACACGCAGAGGAAGGCGAGUUGGGUGAUAAAAAUAGUCUCCGUUUUGGAAUAAAAUUACAUGAAAUGCCACGAGAAAUACAUACAAUAUGAUGUUGACAAAAUUGAUGCUGAUUUCUGCUUUUAGAGAUCUGUUAGAUUUAGAUUUUUAGUUAUUUCUUCUGACCCAUUUUGCCCCUGUUUCUUAACUAUUUCUAAAAUUGAAAACUCCGCCACUUUGACAUCUCGUAUCGCUCUACUAUUUCCUUUAAAAUAUAUGUAACUAAUGUUCAGGCCUAAGACCGAAUUUUUUAAUUCAACAGUAAUAAUAAUGUAAACAGCGUGCUGCUACAAUUAAUAUCAAAUUAAUAUUGCCAAUUUUGUUUAGGAACAUAGCCUUAAAUGACCCGUUCGAAUAGUUGGUUUACAUGUAUUUUUUAAACUAAAUAAAAUAUAAUUUUAAACUCAAAUGAACAAAAAUAUCUUAUAUUAAAAAUGUAUAUUUAUAAAAUUAUUUUAAUAAAUAAUUAUAGGUGGAAUAGUAAUAUAUUUUUAUUUAAAUUUGUUCAUCUUAUAUUUAAUUCUUAAGUAAUAUUUUGCAAUUAUUUUAUUUUAAAUAUUUAUCAUAUAAAAGUAUGGAAUAAUAAUUGUAAUACUAUUUUUUUAACAAACAAUAAUAAUACUAAUUAAUUUUUAAAUUAAGGAUGUUUUAAUAAUUUUAUAACUAAGUUGAUGUAGAGUCAUGAUAUCAACUCAAUCAUUUUAUAUAUAAUAUGGAUUAUAAUUAUUUUUAAUUUAAAUACUAAUAUAAAGAUAAUAUUUUUAUUUUUUAAUUUAUAUUUGAAAUAAUUUAAUUUAAUAAAAUUUAACAAAAUUUAUAUUAUGCUUUAUAUCAUCGAAAAUCUCUAAACAAAAAUUAAAGAUUUCAAAAAAUAAAAUGAAUAAGUUAAUUUAGCUACUAUUAAACUAUAAAUAUUAGCAUAAUUAUUUAUUAUUUAUUAUUUAUAUGCAUAUUAAAAAAAAUUAAAAGAAAAAUAAACCAUUUUCAUGCAUGUAUAAUAUAUACACAAAUAUAUAUCCUUGAGGUAAUUAUAUAUUGUUUUCUUAAAUAUUUUACUUACUAAAAAUACAAAAAAUUAUUUUAAAAAUCAUAUGAAAUUUUGCUAAAAGUCUAAGUUUAUUUUAUAAAUUUUCAAGAUAAAGUAAAAAAUUAAAGAUAUACAACAUAUAGCAAUUUAUACAAAUUUCAAAAUUAUAUAUAAAUAUAUAUAUACUGUUAUUAAAACUUCAGAUUGAGUAGGUAUCAAGAAUCAACUAUGCACCAAUUCAAUUGGAAAAUUACGAUAAUGUCUUUUUAUAAUUAAAAUAAGGUAUAUUGUUCAAUGACACUUUAAUCUUUUUUAUUAAAAAAAUCAAUAAAAAUAAAAUGGAUUUGAACUCAACCAAUUGUUUUAAUAAAACCUUGAAUUCAUCACUCAACCAAAGUUUUAUUUUAUCAUAUUUAAAACAUUUUUAUUUUAAUAUGCACAAUUUAUUAUGUCCAUCAAUUGUAUAUUUAUACAAUUAUUUAAACCUCUAACUGGGUUGAUAUCACGAGUCAACCAGGCACCAACACGAUUAGGGAAGUUACAAAAAUAUUCAUCCGUAAUCAAAAUAAAUUAUAUUGCAAAAACCAAUGAAAAUAUAAUUUGAACUCACACCAAUGAAAAUAUACUACUCAACCAGAGCUUCAUUUUAAUGUGUUUUUAUACAUAUUUAUUUUAAUAUAUGCAUGAUUUAUUAUCUCCAUCAGUUGUAUAUAUUAAUAAUGUUAUUAAUUGAAUUAGUGUCACAAGUCAACUUGACAUUAAGUCAAAAUUAAAGAUGACACCAUAAUAAACAAUUAUAGUACAUUUAAUAUUAUUAAUUUAAUGUAUUUAUAUGUUUAAUUUUAUUUUACUUACAGUUUAAUUUUUUUAUUUUAAUAUUAUACAUAUUUUAUAAACUUAUAUAUUAUUAUAAUUAAUUAAUUUCAAAUCAUAUAUUUCAUUAUUUAUUAUGUUUUAUUUUUAAACAUAUAUCUUUUAUCUAAAUUCGUACAGCAUAAUUGCCAUACAUAUACGAAAGUCUAAUAUAUAUUAAAAACAAAACCUCUAAUCAUAAAAAGCUUAUCCCAAUAGAUAUAUAGUUUAAAUCGUGCCAUGUAUAUAAUUAGAAAAUGUAACUUAUCAUAUAUUUAAUUAUUUCGACUCAAUUUAAUUAAAAACAUUUAAAUGUCAUAUAAUAAAUUAUAAUUAUUUUUUAACAUUUUUAAUUGACUUGCCUUAUACAUAUAUGUAAUAGUAUAAAUAAUUUUUUUUCUCUCAUAAAUCAUUUAUUAAUAGACGUGAGUUAAUUAUACAUAAAACUACAAACUAAAAUCAGAACCAUUUUUAAAUACCAUGUUAAGAACAUUGAAUUUCUUUCAAACCCAGCUUUAAGAAAGAUAUCAGCUCAACUAUUCGCAUAAAAUAAUUCUUAUAUGGGUUAGAGUAAUAUUUUUUUCAACACGUGUUAUAAAAUAGAGUUAUGUAAAAAAAUUCUAAAUUGAAAAUUUAAAAUUUUCAGUUUAAUCGAUUUUUAUGUUCGGUUGAAUUAGUUUAAUCAGUCAAUUUUUAAUUUUGAUAUUUUAAAUUGAAUAAGUCAUAAGGCUAAGAGUCCAUAAUAUUUACAUACCUAAAUCUAAAUUUAAACUUUAAACUCAAAUAUCAAUUAAAAUUUAAUACUCUUAAAAGCCUAAACCCAUUCAAAAUUAAAAUCCAAAUUGAUAAUUAAUUUUUUUAUAAUAUUCAUUUUAAUUUUUAUCAUUUAAUAUAUAAAAAAAACCCAAAUUGAUAUAUACCUAUUAAGAAUAGUAGAAGACGUGAAAGUUAUAUGUUGAGCAUGUAAGAAAAAAAAGUAUUUUUUUGAGUUCAUUAAAAUUAUUUUGUUUAUUUUUAAUAUUUAUAUAAUGAAGUAGAAAUAAAAUUAUAAGUAAUGCAAUAUACUAAUUUGAAGAAAGAAGAUAGUUAUAUGAAAAAAAUAAAUUUAAUAAAUUUAUAAAUACUUCAAUUAAAAUUUUCUUUUCCAACUAAAAGAAAAUUUAAAAGUAAAAAAAUCAAACCGAAUAAAAAAUUUCGGUUCUAGAUUGAAUCGAUGUAUUCGAUGUAUUCGAUUUUGGGGAUAAAAAUUAAACCGACAAAGUUAUCGAUGUUAAGAUGAAAAAGAAAUUAUGAGAGAAUUUGGCCUGCAAUUUGUUGAACCCUUGUUACAUAUAACCCUAAGAAAUCCAUCAUAUGAUAAUGAAAGAAUCACAUAGCAAACCUAUAAUAAUAUUUGUAAUUUUUCUUAAAAUAUUGAAUGAUGAUUUUAAGAACUAUAUAGCAUAGAGCGACGUUCAUUUUUGAGUCUGAGUAGUAUAUCGUCUUCUUGUUAAAGAAUGCUCAAACUGUUAUUGAUAUCUUGAAUGACAUUAAUCAAAAUGAGAGCAAGGAUAAAAUCUAUGCAGACUUGAAUUCUCCAAAAACUGUUGACAACUCUUCCGUUAAGUCCAAUAAAAAGAGGAAGACCAAAGAAAGCAAUAAUCUUAUUGGGCUGGUAGGAAGUAUAAUUGGAGUCUUCAUUGAUAGAAUUGUCCAAAAAUCUAGGAACUCAAGCAAUUUCAAGACUAGCCCAAUAUUGAAGGGCUAAUUGAAGACGAAGUGAUGAUUGCUUCAAGGAAGAUAAUUAAAGAUGUUGGAGCUAUGCUUGUGUUGUUGAAUGUUCCAGCUCAUCAAAAAGUUGAAAUGGGUCAGAGGAUAUAUCUAGACUUAUUAUUAUUAUUAUUAAUUUAAGACAUCAUGUUAUUUUUAAAAACUAUGUUUUAUGCACAUUUUCUUAUAUUUUUAAAAUAUUGAUGUUAAAUAAUCCGAGUAUAAUUUUAAUUUAAUUUUUAUUUGAACUGUAUUUGUAAAAAACAAUGAAAAGAAGAAUGAUAAUUUUAGUUUUACUUUGAUGUGAAUUGUUUUUAGUUGACUGAAGUGGAACUUUAUAAUUGUAUUCACAAAUCUAUAAUUAUAGUCCUAUUUACAUUUUUUAAUCGAAUUUGAUCCGUAAUUUUAAUCGUAUUUGUAAUUGUACUUUUGACACGUUUAAUAAUUUGUAUUGUGUUUGUGUUUACAUUGUUGACAUUAAUAAAUGCAACAAUUUAUAAGUUUUUCAAGGUAUGCUUUAUAAUUCACAAAUGACAUUUAAUAAAAUAAUACAUUAGUAUUGAUAUGUUUAACUAAACUAAGUCAAAUACAUGUAUUAAAAUGCCUCCCCAAUAUUGGGUUAAUUAUUUUUUGGAUGAUGAUGAAAUUUAUUAAUCUAAGAAUGCACUUAAACUGUGACAAAAGAACAAAAACACAAUAUAUAGUGUAGUGGGCCAAAUGUGCCCGAGCCCAUUACAAACAAACCAAAAACAAAUAAAUAAAUAUAAAAACCACAGUCUAUUAACCCAAGCCCAAUAAUUAAACCCUGACCCGAAUCUACAGGACCCAACAGGCCUAGAACACUAAAACAGGACAAAACCCUAGGACAUCUCCUUUUCCUCUGCGCCGCAACCAAGCAACCCCCCAUGCACGGCCUCCGUACCGUCCAGCAGCCACGCCCCGCGCCAGCACAGUUUCCGUACGCCACGCCCACACCCCCGUACACAUACCAGCAGACCCCGUACCUGGAAAAAGACAAACAGGAUGCAACAGCAAAUAGAAAGAAAGAAAAAAAUUGUAUUUCAUUUUUAUUUUUUUUUUACAUUCGGCUAUAAAAGCCUAUUGAUAAGGGCUCUUUUUUUUUACGGGAUAUACAGAAGCAAUAUACAAACAAAGGUGAUUUUCAGUCUCUUACUGGCUUUAGUUCUUUUGAUUGGGUCAUUUUUAUUUUCUUUUCUCUUCAAUCUUUCGUUAUUAUACUUGAAAAUAAAAAGAAACGAAAGGGGAUCUUACUUUGCAAAUUCGCCACGGGUUCUUCUUUGCUUCGCUGAAAUUGAAGUCUGAGGAGUGAUCUUGAGGCUGCAAACUGAUUUCUAGGUUCUAGAAGUUUCAUUGUUGGCGGCGACAUGCUAAAGGAAACCCUAAAAGAAUGGGCUGAUAGCAUGAUUUAUUUCUAAGGGGAAGGAUUUGUGUUUUAGGUAAAAAAAACGAUUGAAAAAGGAGGGGUUUAGCAGCAGAUCUAAACGGCGUCGCUCCAAAAAGGGGUAGGGUCCGCGUGUCUACCCGUUUGAAGACCCGGAUCCACUCUUUUGCGCCUAGAAUGGAAUAUUUGUGCUGAAGGUCCCUCCUCCUUGUGCUGCGUUGUAAUCUGCUUCCAUUUGCAUUUGAUUUGCUUUAUUUUCUUUUAGAUUAUUCCCAAAAUUUGAAAUACUUUUAUGUUGUAGUCCGCAUCUCAACACAAUGUUUCAGGAUCAGGGAUUAUUUCAAUCUUGAUCCCUGUGAAUUCAUGUGUGUUAUAUAUGAGUCUCCAUUAGUAGUUUACUUAUUUGGUAAAUUAUCUUUUUAUUUUACUUUGAUUUCAAUUAAGUAUUUUAUUAGAUUUAUGUUAUAAAUUUGGGUUUAUUCACUCAUAUAUUUUCGGUUCUUUUAUUAAUGCAUGUAUAUUCAUCAUUAUUUUAUUUUCAUUUUUGUUUUUUAUUGUUUAUAUUAUUUGUAAUGUUAAUAUUAAUUGUAUCAUUUGUAUCAUUGGUUACUUAUUUGUUGUAAUUUGGGUAAUUGAAGUUCCACAUGUUGCGUACUAUUUUAUGUAUUGUUUUAUGAAUUAUCAUACAUGUAUAUACCUUAUAAUAAAAUUGGCUUUAUUCUAUGAAUAGAGGUGUGCAUGGGUCGGGCCCAUAAAAAUUUUUGGCCCUUUUUCAAGGCCCAGGCCCGGCCCGGCCCGAAAUAUGGGCCUGAAAAUUUGUCCAAGCCCGGCCCGAGAAAAAAUGGUAGGCCCGGCCCGGCCCGGUCAUAUUAAUUUUUUUUUGCUUUUUUAUUAAAUAAAAAACUUUAAAAUAUAAUAAAUCAAAUACAUUUAAAACAUAAAAACAAAUAUUAAAACAAAAAAUAAAUAAAUAAUGGGACUAAAAUAAUUAUUAAAAUAAUACAUAAAUUAAAAAUAUAAUAAAAAGUAAUUAUAUUAAAAUUAAAAAAUUGAAACAAAUUAAAACUAAAUUAUAUUAAUAACAAAAGUUUUACAAUAUCAAAAUAACAUCAAAACAACAAAAAAAGUAAAGUAAAAGUACUAAAGUUAUUUAAAAUUAAAAAUAAAAAUAAUUUAAUAUUAAAAUCGGGCCGGGCCGGGUCAGGCCCGGGCCAAAAAAAGCUUACCCAAGGCCCGGCCCGUUUUCUAAACGGGCCUCGUUUUUUGUCCAAGCCCGUUUUUCGGGCCUAUAUUUUUACCCAAACCCUCCUAUUUUUCGAGCGGGCCUUCGGGCAGAGCCGGGCCGCCCGGCCCAUGCACACCUCUAUCUAUGAACAUUAUUAACAUUAUUAACUAUUUUUUUUAUAUAUCUGUUAUGUGUAUUUGUUUUUUUUUUAAAAAGAAAUCGUAUGUUAUAUGCAUUAGUUAAAUUUUAACUAUACGUAUACAAAAAUUAUUGAUAUAUAUAAUUUAAAUACAUUUUUAAACAUUAAUAUUUUUAUACAUAUAAUUUCUUUUAGACUUAUUCACGUAUCUUUCUUAUUUAAAAAGAAAAUCCCACAUAUUUCGUGUAUAAUUUAAGUUAUUAUUAAACAUAUAUUUAGAACUUAUAUUUAAUUUGUAUCCAUUGUUAAAGCCAAUAUAUUCUUAUACAUAUAUAUAUUUUUUAAAUAAACUCAUAUAAUUAUUUUUUUUAAUUAUUACACAUAUAAGUUGUGUUUAAUUCUAUAAUUCAUAUUUUAAUUAAAUGAUAUCUUGACAUAUAAUUAUUUCUAACAUUUCUUCACAUGUAUAUGGUACAUAUUAAAUUAUUUUACUAUGGUACUUGUUAUUAUUUUCAUAUAACUUUAUAUAAAUAUUUAUAUAUAUCCCUAUUUUUUAAGCUUGUCAACCUAUAUACCUAACUUAUUAAUAUUAUACCAUUUUGAUUUCUACAUUUCAUUUGCUUCACAUAUAUCUUGUUGUUUUCUUUAUAUCUUAUGGCAUGAAUAUAUAUAAUCAUUGCAUGGUAUUCGUCUUAAUGAUUUGUUAAAUGUUCUUCGUAUGUGAUUGAGAUUUGAUUAUGAUCUCUGGAUUAAUUAUAUUUAAUUGCAUAUUCUGCUAGUCGAUUAAUAUUAUUAUUCAUCAAGCAUCGUACCAUUAUAUGUGCCUUUUACCCUAUAUCAUUGUUUCACUUAAUUUUUGAAAUGUGGUUCUAUAAAACCCAAAUUUUAUGAUUAAUUUCGUCUUAUUUCAAAUCGAGUUAAUACGUCUUAAGCUAGCUUUAUAAUCAUUCAUUCAAAAAUUCUUCAAAACGAAGAUGAGAUUCGAUGUUUGGCAAUUCGCGGAAUCGUGCCCUAACGUGUUGGGUUGCAAUUUCGCGUUUGCUCAAAAUAACCGAAUAUCACUUUAAAAUUUCAUUAAUGUCUUUUAAAAAUUCUUUAAAAUGAAGACGAAAUUUGGUAUUUGGCAAUUCGCGGAAUCGUACCCUAACGUGCUGGGUUGCAAUUCCGAGUUUGCUGAAAAUAAUCAAAUAUCACUUCAAGAUUUCAUCAUUCAUUCAAAAAUUCUUUAAAACGAAGACGAAAUUUGAUAUUUGGCAAUUCGCGGAAUCGUGCUCUAACGUGCUGGGUUACAAUUUCGCGUUCGCUCAAAAUAAUCGAAUAUCACUUCAAAUUUCACUCGUAUCUUCUAAAAAUCCCUUAAAACGAAGGCAAUACUCGGUGUUUGACGAUUCGGGAAUCAUGCCCUAUCGCGUUGGGUUGUGAUUUCUCGUUUGGUCAAAACAAUCGAAUAUUCCUUUAGGUUUUCACUCAUUUUUUUAAGAAAACAUUUUAAAACGAAGGUGAUGUCCAAUGUUUGGCGAUUUGAGAAUCGUGACCUAUCGUGCUGGGUUGCGCAUUUUCUUUGGUUCAAAACAAUUGAAGAUCCCUUCAGAGUUUCACUCACAUUUUUUAAAAACUCUAAAAAAUGAAAGAAACGUUCGAUGUUUGGCAAUUCGGGGAAUAGUGCCCUAUCGUGCUGGGUUGCAAUCUCCCGUUUGUUCAAAAUAAUCGAAUAUUUCUUCGAAAUUUCACUCGUAUUUUCUAAAGCAAGGCAAUGGUCAAUGUUUGGCAAUUCGAGGAAUCGUGCCCUACUGUGCUGGGUUUCGGUUUUCUGUUGAACUAAAUAGUGAGCAUCCUCUUGUGAGUUUCAAAUAAAAAAUUUUCGAAUGCCAAAACAAGAAGAUUUUUGACAAUCAACUCGGGUUAUUCAACUGUUAUUAAAAAGAACCAAAUUUCAAAAACAUUUUUAAUUUUAGACAUAAGGACAGUAUUUAAUUGAUUUGGUACCAAUUUUGGGCGUAGUGAGGGUGCUAAUCCUUCCUCAUGCGUAACCAACUCCCGAGCCCGUUUUCUAAAAUUUUCGUAGGCCAGAGUCGUUGUUUUAGUAAACUAAAAAUGUUUUAUUAAAAUAACUUCAUUCUUAGGUGAUCCGAUCACACCAGAAUAAAGAUCGGUGGCGACUCCAUAUUUCUAUUUUCCAAAGAGUCGAUCCCUCGUAUUUUCAUCGAAUUUAAAAUUUUAAAAUAUUUCGAAAAAGGGAUGGUUUCGACAGCUUGGUGACUCCGCUGGGGAUUGAACUUGAGUCGAGCCAUAAAAAUCGAUUUUUUGCUGUCCUUUUGUCAAAAAUCAAAAUCUGUUUUAAAAAUCAUGUAUCUUUCGAUUGCAUUUGAUUGUAUGUUUGUUUUGGUGCGGGUCUUGUAGAAUAGCACUGCAUUUCAUUGCAUGACCACUGUGGUCACACCUUCUAAGUGGGAGUAAGUAGCUACGCUUUCGUGAGGUUUUCACCUCCGCAUGGGCUAGUGGAUUGCUUCCGGGGUACAUCCGUACCUAUGAUUUCGUGAGAUUUUCAUCUCCGCAUGGUCAUAGGGAAAUGUACCCCCCCCGAAUUGAACUCAAUCUAUAUGAGCCUAUAAUGGGUAAAGAUUGAGGAAUCUGCUGGUUCGGGUACCCUUUUUCCUAGAACUAAACCACAUAUAUGAACCUUAGGAGCUAUCCUUGGGUGAAGCCGCGUCGAGCCUUAGUACUUACCCGUAUAUGCGUUAUGAUUAUCGUUUAUGUGCUUGCAUUUUAUCACUAUUAUUUGAUACUAACCGGUGUUUUGUUUUGAUUGUCUUUUUUGCAUGACAUUGCAUGCUAAAGGAGGCGUUAAUCCGUAUUCAAUUACUAAGUUAGAAAAUUUGACAUGGAGAAUAAAUUUCUUAGUAAAGUCGAGGAUAAUGCGGCCGUUCGUGCAUGGUCGGAGAGGCUACAAUCAGAGAGAGGUGAUAGCUUGGUACAAGGGUAUGUAUCGGAGCUACAGGAUUUCACUCGCGUCAGUAUAGUACAGAAUGAGCUGCAAGAGUUGAGAGACAUUUGGGUUAGUUGGGAUGAAGGGAUCAAGCAGUUGUUUUACCAAAACUACGGUGACAUAUCCUACCUGCUAGACAUUAGAGUGGAUAAGCAUUUAUUUCGAGCUUUGGUGCAGUUUUGGAAUUCUGCGUACAAGUGUUUCACUUUUGGAGAAGUGGAUUUGGUACCUACCAUGGAGGAAUACACUACUUUGCUCAGGUGUCCCAAAAUUCAGGUCCAGAAGACUUAUGCCCGGGUUUUUAGUAGUCAGACUUUCAUGAAGAAACUGAUGAGCAUUUCUGGGAUGAGCGAGCCUUGGGUCACCGCUCGGAUUCAGCAAAAAGGAGAUAGCAAAUGUAUCCCUUGUGAGAAUUUACGAGAUUUGAUCUUGACGCAUCCAGAUGAAAGAAAGAGGGUCGAUAUAUUUGCCUUAAGCAUCUACGGAUUAGUGAUAUUUCCUAAGGCUUUAAGGCACGUGGACGAGGCGGUCAUUGACUUGUUCGAUCGCCUUGAAAAGGGAAUCACACCGGUACCGGCAAUAUUGGUAGAAACGUUCAGAUCUUUGAGCUCAUGUCAGAAGACAGGCGAGGGGCGAUUCAUUGGAUGUGCUCAACUAUUGAUGGAUGGUUUCAUGGGCACUUUUUGAAGGUAGACAAGGUUUCCUAUCGAGUCUUCUCCGAAGGAUAUUCCCCUUUGAAAGAAGAAGCAGCUAUACAUAGGAGAGAGAAUAUCUCGGAGGAGAAGUGGAUGGAUAUUCUUCAGAACCUCAAGGAGGAGGAUAUCGAGUGGAGAGCUUAUUAGAUGGUUCCUGAUGAGAUCAUGUACCGAUGUGGUAACUUUGAUUGGGUGCCAUUGUUAGGAAUUUGGGGACCUACCGGAUAUACUCCGUUGAUAGCCUUGAGGCAAUAUAAGUCGAGGCAGUUUGUACCCACGACCCACGGACUUGCUCAGAGUGAAUUCUCUUUUAAGGGUGCUCAUUAUAAGAAGAGAGUUCGAGAGUUAUCGGAUUCUUGGAAGCAAACUUAUUGGAUGAAGAGGUUAGCCGUCGGUCCCAUGGUAACACCCGAGUACAGCGAGUGGUUAAGAAGAGGAUUAAUGAUAAUAUUCCUAGGCCAAGCUUGGAGAAUGCUCGACCUAUCGGGGAACAAUUACAAGUCGCCCCAUCAGAAUUGGAGAUUAUAAAGUAAGAUUUCGAGAAGAAGAGUUUGAAGCUUGGGAAGAAGAUCGAACAAUUGGAGGAAGAGAAUAUGCACUUGAGAUUAGACGCUGAUGUUCAGAGGUCAGAGGCUGAAAAGUGGAGAAAAGAAAAAACUAAGGCCGAAGAGGAUCUAGACAGCUUGAAGACGGACUACAAGAAGCUGCGCCUAUCUAUGAGGACUGCGGGUUUAGGUAAAACUUCUGAACAAUGGCGCCAUGAAAUUUGAGAAGAAAAGGCUAAUACCAACCGGUGGGAAAGGAAAUUCCGAGAAGCUCAGGCACGAAAUGAAGAUUUGGAGAAGAGUCUGUCGGAAAGUAGAAAUGAGCGAGGGGAAUUAAGGGCUAGAGUGGCAGAACUCGAGAAGUCUCUGCAUCAAUACUGAAACCGUAACACCGCAAUGGAAUUGAGGGCAAGCUUGAGCAAAAUAAAAGAAAUGAAUGGAAAAAUAGAAUAGUUAGAGGCGUCACUGCAAAACUGCGAGAUGCGGAUCUAGCUUUUCGAAGCAAACGAGGAUCGUUGGAAAGCAUAACUUCACCAUGUGCAAAAACAAGUCAGAAACAGGGAUUACCUUAUGAGGAGGCCAUAACCCAGAUCCGGGAGGUAGCGGACUACUUGCAAACUCUAGCGGUUCAGGCAGACACACUAAGCGUGAAAUAUGAGUUGAAGUCAGAGCGCGGACAGGAGCCGGCCUCAUUGCUUAGAAAAAUUAGGACUUUGAGUAUUAGAGCGAAAUUUUAUUUGAAACUCGACUUUAUGUAAAAGAUUUUAUUUUCAAGUGAAAUUUUCUAAGGGCAGUUGAAUCAAAAUUGAUGCCUCCUUUGCAUUCAUGCAUUUGCAUUACAUCAUAUUAUUAUGCAUUAAAGGCCAUAAGAGUUUUCUAAUUAAUUAAUUAAAAAUUAUUUCAGUAACUUGGAAACCAACGAAAACUAACCAACCACGCACCCCUACGGUACAAGGAAAAAAUCAAUGGAUAAAAGACUCGAGAAAUUGGAGCAAAUGCAAAAUAACAUGCAAGAUCAAAUGCAGUCUCAGAUGCAAGAGCAGCUAGCCAAGAUUCAAUGAGAAAUGAAGGAGCAAAUGCUGAAGUCCUAGAGAGAAAUGAUGUCCCAGUUAUCCAAAGUGCUGUUGGGAGGAACGGAUUAGGGAAAGGGCCCCAUAGACAAAGUUGAAGAAACUAAUGAGGAUCCUCAAUACCCCCUGGCUUCACUCCGACACAUGUACCGAUGAAGCCCGAGAUUAAUCUACCGAAACCAUCUGUCACAAUCAUGCCCCAGUAGGUUCAGGCCGGAGCUUCAAUACUAAUGAAUUUCCAAACCGGCUCAGGCUCUAACUUUGUCAACAACCCGAACUAUCCGCCCGUUCUCGACUUGGAUGAAAUUGCUGAAGAAGAAAAGACGAGGAUGGAUUCGCAAAAACAAUUGGAAGAACGGUGUAGAUGGCUCAAGGAGAAAUUCAAAGCCAUGGAAAGCGCGGAUCAUCAUCAAGGGAUUGAUGCCAAAGACCUGAUUCUAGUCCCAGAUUUAGUCCUUCCCUCUAAAUUCAAAAUGCCCGAAUUCGAGAAAUACAAUGGAACGAGCUGCCUUGAAGCCCACAUCACUAUGUUUUGCAGGCGAAUGACGGGAUACGUUAACAGCGACCAGCUAUUAAUCCAUUGCUUUCAAGAUAGCCUGGUCAGGGCGGCGUCUAAGUGGUAUAACCAAUUAAGCCGAGUUAAAAUUAACUCAUGGAAGGACCUGGCUCAGGCCUUUAUGAAGCAAUACAGUCAUGUGACAGACAUGACCCCCGACAGAAUCACUCUCCAGAAUGUGGAGAAAAAGUUAAAUAAAAGCUUCAGACAGUACGCACAAAGGUGAAGAGAAGUGGCUAUACAAGUUCAGCCGUCACUUCUAGAAAAAGAGACGACAAUGCUCUUUAUUAACACCUUGAAAGCCCCUUUUAUUACUCAUAUAUUGGGAAGCGCCACUAAGAGCUUCUCCGGCAUAGUGAUGACAGGGGAAAUAAUCGAAAAUGCCAUGAGAAGCGAUAAGAUAGAAGCAGAAGAAAUUACCAGAAAGUCGGCUUCGAGAAAAAGAGACAAUGAAGUGAACAACACGAGCACAUCUAACAAAGGUCAGUCCAAGUCAUUCACCGUAAAUCAACCCAAGACGGUGACCACCAGUCAGCAAAGUUCUAUAAGACAAGAAUCCAACGCGAGGGAGAACACAGAAAGGCCACAAUUCACCCCUAUACCCAUGACGUAUAGGGAGUUGUACCAGAACCUGUUUAACGUUCAUGUGGUGUCCCCUUUCUACCUGAAGCCACUGUAGCCCCGGUAUCCCAAAUGGUAUGACACAAACGUCCAAUGUGAAUACCACACGGGAAUCACCGGGCACUCUAUCGAAAACUGCACUGCAUUUAAAAAAUUAGUCGAAAGACUCAUUAAGAUGGGGAUCGUGAGAUUUGACGACCCAGCCACACCCAAUGGAGUAGAAAACCCACUCCCCAAUCAUACCGACCAAGGAGUGAAUGAGAUAAGUGAAGGCUUGAACAAGAAGACCAAAUACGAAGUGGCAGAAGUCAGGACCCUGCUGAGGCGGAUAUGGAAAGAGAUGGCCAAGAGAGGAUUGAUAGCGUUGGAUUUGAGGGAAGAACCCGAAGAAGAGAGAAACUACUGUGAGUUUCACGACGAGGUGGGGCAUAAAAUCCAAAAAUGUGUGGAAUUUAGGGCCCUCGUGUAGAACAUGAUGGAUAACAAAGAAAUGGAAUUCUAUGAAGAAGCUAAAAGCCCCGUAGAGAGAGAUAUAUGCGCAUCCGAGGAAGGAUCGGUAGCGCAGAAUCAAACGACCAACUAUCCUGUGGUUAUCAUAUCGAGACCUAAAAAUAAUGAAGCUGGAGUUCAAAUGCCACCGAGAGUCAUAAUACAAAGACCUGUAGUCUUCUCUUACAAAGACAGCAAAAAGGUCCCAUUAAAUUAUGAUUGCAGUGUGACGACGCCGGGAAAAGAGAGCCCGGUUGACGCUUCAAGAGGGGAUCAAAAUAGGGGUUCCUAUACACGUAGCGGGAGGCGUUACGAUACGACGAAUGAGGAGGUACAACCCACAAAAAGAAAAACCCAGGUGGUCGAGGAAAUGAAAGGAAAAGUAACCAAACCUGUUAAUGAGCCAGUUAACGAAGAGGAGGCCAAUGAGUUUUUAAAAUUCUUAAAGUAUAGCGAAUACAGUGUCGUGGAACAGCUACGUAAACAACCAGCCCAUAUUUCGGUGCUGGCCUUGCUUCUGAGCUCAGCAGUCCAUCGCAGCGCACUAAUGAAGGUCUUGAAUGAAACGUAUGUUGCCAAUAAUAUCUCCGUUAACAAGUUGGACCGCUUGGUUAGUAACAUCAGUACCGAUAACUAUAUCUUCUUUAAUGACGAUGAGAUACCACCCGGGGGCAUGGGGUCGACUAAAGCUCUGCAUAUCACCACACGCUGUAAAGGGUAUACGCUGCCAGGCGUACUGAUUGAAAAUGGAUCGGCUCUGAACGUCCUGCCAUUGACCAUGCUAAAUAAAUUACCUGUAGACAGCUCUCACAUGAAGGAGUGCCAGAACAUUGUGAAGGCAUUCGAUGGCACGGAGAGAAAGGUGAUGGGUAGAAUCGAGGCACCUCUUCAGAUUGGGCCAAACACAUAUGAGGUGGAUUUCCUCGUAAUGGACAUCAAGCCCUCAUACAAUUGCUUGUUAGGGAGGCCCUGGAUACAUUCAGCUGGGGCAGUGCCUUCCUCGUUGCAUCAGAAAUUGAAGCUAGUAUCGGAAGGGAGGUUGAUAACGAUCAAGGCUGAGGAGGAUAUUAUUGCAACUGUGAGCAAUAACGCACCCUAUUUGGAGACAGAUGACAAAGCAAUCGAAUGCUCAUUUUAAUCUUUGGAAUUUGUUAAUGCGACGUUCAUCGCCGAGGGAAGUAAAAUUCUGGUGCCGAAAUUGUCCAAAACCACGAGGAUGAGCCUCCAGCUGACGAUUGGAAAAGGGGCUCUACCCGGAAGGGGACUUGGGAGACAUCUGCAAGGAAGGGUUGAAACGCCAAUGCUAAAAGACAAGAGAGACCGCUUCGGCUUAGGAUUUAAGCCGGAUGCAAAACAAAGGAGAAAGGAGCUCGAAAAGAAGAAAGAAAGAAGAAAGAAAGAAGAAGAGCACGAUUAACGGGGGAGGAAAUCAAGUGGAAACCAAUUAUAUUCCCCUAUAUAUCGAAAACAUUUGUGUCCGGGGAAAUCAUUCAUCCUGAGAGAGACACGCCAAUGAUGGGAACUAUAGAAGAAAGGCUGGAAAGCUUGGAAAUCAAUGUCAUGUACGAAAAGGAGACUGGAAAGGAAAAUUUGUCGGGCAUUUGCCCCUACACACUUGGAAGUUUUCUGGACAACUGGACUGCGGAAGAGAUUCCUGUAGUUUUUAGAACGGAUUCAAAGUAAUGUCCAAAACACACUUAUUGCUCUAAGCCUAGGAGUGAUAAGAAUCUUUUGUGAAACAGGUCGAUGUUUAAAAAUAUUGUUUCAAUAAAAUGCACAGAUAUUAUCAUUUUGAGCAAAUGUUCUCUCGUCCUUUCAAUUUCAUUCAUAACCAUACAAAUGAUUACUUUCAGAUUCUUUUAUUCUUGAAAUAUUAUUCUAAAUAUUCUUUCAUUCGUCAUUCAUAAUCAUACCACGCAAAUAAAUGUUUCGAAUUCUUUUGAUUCUUUGAAUCUGCCUUCGUCCUCAUCACAGGUCCCCAGAUAUUAAUGAUACGAGUGACACUACUAGCGACUCAGAAUUUCCUUUCGAGUAAGAUGUGUGUAUAGAUGAUUCUCAGGAUUUUGAUGAUGACCAAGGCUGUAACCUAUCUCCUAAUUUGUUGAGGAUGGUAGAACAAGACGAGAAACAAAUCCUACCCCACAAAGAAUCAAUUGAAAUUGUGAACUUAGGAGAAGGAUAAGAGGUGAAGAUCGGAACGUGUAUUACUACGGAGAUGAAGCGAGACCUCAUUGAAUUGCUUCAAAAAUUUAAAGAUAUCUUCGCAUGGUCGUACCAAGAUAUGCCCGGGUUGGACACUGACAUCGUGGUGCACCGACUCCCUAUAAAAGAAGAGUGUAAGCCAGUUCAGCAAAAACUCCGAAGAAUGAGGCCCGACGUCUUGCUAAAAAUAAAAGAGGAGGUUCGAAAGCAGUUUGAUGUUGGAUUCCUGAAGGUGGUAAAAUACUCAGAUUGGGUAGCCAACAUCGUCCCCGUCCCUAAGAAAGAUGAAAAAGUGCGAAUGUGUGUGGACUACAGAGAUUUAAAUAAAGCCAGCCCGAAAGACAAUUUCCCACUGCCUCAUAUUGACACUCCUGAAGACAUCAGAAUACCUUUGUGAAAGAUGAGGAUCAAGAUUUUGAGACUUAGCUAGACCGGGCAAAUUUGGUCCUUUUUAUAGUCUUUGCUCUAUUCUCGUUACACGACAAUGAGCAAAGAGGGGCAGCUGUAGUGGGCUAAAUGUGCCCGGGCCCAUUACAAACAAACCAAAAACAAAUAAAUAAAUCUAAAAACCAUAGUCUAUUAACCCAAGCCCAAUAAUUAAAUCCUGACCCGAAUCUACAGGACCCGACAGGCCCAGAACACUAAAACAGGACAAAACCCUAGGACAUCUCCUUUUCCUCUGCGCCGCAACCAAGCAACCCCCC
rnacentral:lncRNA from 1 species